UGUUGAGUCAUUUGACAUUGAUCUGAAGGAGCAGAAGGUGACAGUGAAGGGAAAUGUACAACCAGAUGAAGUUCUGCAAGCUGUUUCCAAAACUGGGAAGAAGACUGCAUUCUGGGUGGAUGAAACACCAGCUGAAAACAAGCCUUCAGAAACUGCACCUGUUGCCGCUGCUGAAAAUGAUACCAAACCUUCAGAAACUGCACCUGUUGCCUCAGAAAUCAAGCCUUCAGAAACUGAACCUGUUGCCUCAGCUGAGCCUGAAAACAAGACUUCAGAAACUGCUAUUGAAACUGUUGCCUAAGGCAUUUGGCCUUGUAGUUUUCUGUGUGAAAGUAGGUCUGUUUUCAAAUGGUACUUUACAUGCUUUCUGCAUAUCAGCUGUUAUAUUUUGUGUGAUGCUACUGAUAUAUAAUCGCUGCAAUAACUCUUGGCCUGAGUUUCACAUAUGAGACACUUUUCAAGCAUGUUAUAACUAAGAAUUUUAACUUGUAUUUCUCUUGGCCUCUUCUUACUCUUAAUCUUUUAAUAUUUCAAAAGGUUGCGCUUAUUGUUUUUUAACAUGGAAUAACUCUAAUUUUAAAGAAAUGUAUGUCACAGAUAAUUUUACCUCAUUACUAUUUUAAAUUGUUUUCUAAAUGUCAAUUUUAAUAAGUUUUAUUAUGAUUAUAAGAAUAUUAUUUAUUAAUUAUUUCAAGUUAAUAAUUUACAUACAUAAAGUCUGAUUGCUGGCUAAGGUAGAUUGUAUGUUUGGGAGACCGUUAAUACACUCUCCAUUACACCAAAUAAAUAAAUAAAAUAAAAUAAAAUUGUAGCUUUAGCUUUGAACUUGAGUUGCGAUAAUUAUUAGAAAGUGAGUUUUUACGCCUAAUUCAACCCCGCAAAACCGGCUUGUAAGGUGAGGUUUGCACCUACUUAUAUAUACUUAAAUGGCCUCAUCUUUAGUCGAUGUGGGACUUCCAACACACCCCCCUCACGCGAGGUAUAUACAUCUCGAAGUUAGGCUUAAAGUUCACUUCUAACAUGGUAUCAGAGCCAUGAUUGGAGCCCAUCCUAGUGAUUUCUGUUGUCAUUGGGCAUAUUGUUCCACCCGCUAUCGGGCCGCUAUCGGACCACCCAUUAAAAAGUCUAAUCCCACGCUCGAGAUGUAUAUACCUUGGCGUGAGGGGGGUGUGUUGGAAGUCCCACAUCGACUAGAGAUGAGGCCAUUUAAGUGUAUAUAAGUGGGUGCAAACCCCACCUUACAAGCCGGUUUUGUGGGGUUGAGUUAGGCUUAAAGUCCACUUAUAACAAUAAUGAUAAUUCUUUCCCGAACACACCCAUAUCAAGACCUAUUGUUAUCAAAAGGAUAAUGAUAUUCUGACGUAUUUUUUUUUUUUUUUUACUUUUUAACUCCAUCACAUGUCAUGUGGUUAUUAGAACAGUUAAAAAAAUGACAUGGAAAGAUAAGAAUUAGGGAUUUCAAGGAUUUUGGUUUUUGAAGUUUGUGGUAUUUGGAUUUGAAAUUUCAUUUCACAUUGCAAGAGAGGGGACUAUACGAGAGAGGGUUGUACGAUGAUGUUCAUCGAAUUUGCAAUCGUUGUUCACCAUUCAUCGUUCAUUUUGCUGUAAUCGCCAUUUUGAAGUAUCAUUGAAGGUCGAAACCACCAUUGACCGGAGUUUUGUAAGUUUUUGUUGCUCAUUUCAGUUUUGUUUUGUUGUUGUUGUUCGGUUAUUUUUGACUUGUUUUCAAUUUUUUCAAUUCUUUCGUUAACAUUUUGGGUUGUUUUGUUUUUUGGGUGUUUUUCUGAUUUUGGAGUCCUUAUUUCGUAUAUUAUAGGUAUUGUUGCAAUGGAGGAAAUUCAUGAACAGAGUGAACUUUGUAAUGACAGGAAGAAGAUAUGUAAGGUUAUACUAUAUUUCGAAAAAGUUUUGGCUUUUUUUGUAUUUAAAUAGAAACGAUAUUUUUAUAUGCAGUUUGUUUUUAGAUACUCCUGUAACACAAAAUUUAUAAGUGGUUGGAAUCAAAAUUUGAGUAGUGAACAAAAGCAUUAUAUUGAGAAUACAGUCUUUGGUUGGUUAUUAGGGUUGCUAGAGUCUAUGGGUGAGUUUUGUUUUGGGGACAAAAUUGUUGAAUUUAAUGAAUUCGAUGUAUGUUUAGGGUUAGGGUUGCCUGUAGUUGGAGAAGUAAUAGAUUUAAGUAAACUUGGAGUGGAGUUGAUAUUGUGUGUAGGAACUACUUACUUGAUGGAAAGGUUGAUGUUAAGAUGGUAUAUGAGUUAUUGUUGGAGGAACGUGAAAAUUUUCCUCUAGAACAUUUAUGUAGCUUGUACAUAUUAGUAGGGAUAUCAAAUUUUUUACUUCCUAAUCAUAGUGGAAUAAUUUUCCAAUUAUUUUUGACAUUGUUGUUGAGUUGGAGUGUAUGAGUAAGUACAGCUCGGGUAGUUUAGUUUUUGAGUACUUGGUGGAAAGUUUAUGUAGUGCUUCAACAAUAAUGAAGAAUGAAAGAGGCAGAACCCACUUUCAUGUUAUUGGACAUCUGAUGCUCCCGUAUGAUCAUUGAGUCCUUACUUAAACUCUUUACCAAAAGAGUAUGGACAACACUCGUCCAAUCAUAAUCAUACAACCUAUCAAUGUCAUCUAAUAUUACACAUGACAUGUUACUAACUGCCUUGGAUUUCCUAGGAAAAUAAAAUAGAAUAAAACAAACUAAAAUAUACAAACGACAUAUACAAUCAACAUCGUUCUUAUUAUUUCUUAUUAUGAAUUUUAUCCUAUUUACAACGUCUUUUAGAGUUAAUGACUUAUAACUAAACUAUUGGCCAAUAACACCACAAACAUUGUCAUCAAAUUUAACCUCUAAACCCCUCACACCCAAUCCUAAACCCAUGCAAACAUCUGUCAUAGUAAAUGAUACCAUUCUUUGCUUCAGAAGGAAGGAUUCAUUAUGCCCAACCCACCGACUGAACAUUUCCUUCAACAAUGGUGUGCAUAUGUCAAUCAACCUAUGCAUAUAAAGACACCACUUGAACAGAGUCUGACCAAUACGCGAUGGUCAUUGUCCCUUAAUACACCAUUUAUCUGAGUUAUAGGUUUGGUGUCACAUCAUGGUCGCAAACGAAACUACUAAAAAUUUUAAACAAAAUCAACUAUUAAAAAGCAUUAUUAAAAGAAAGCCAUAAAUGUUCAAUAUGACACAAUUACUUACAUUGUUUUCACCUUCUUGUCCAAUGAAAUAUAUUGUUGUUAAACGAAACAUUGUACAAAAGAUAUGUCAAAAUAACCAAACAACAACUCCAAAAUGAUUGUGCAUGUCAAAAAAUUGAAAUUUUACACGAAAAAAAAACCAAAAAUGAUAAAAAAAUGAAAAAAUUGAAAACAAGUCAAAAUCGAACAACAACAACAAAGAAAAAUCGAAACAUACGGCGGAAAUUACAAAACCCACGUCAAUGGUGGUUUGGUCUUUCAACGAUGCUUCGAAACGACAGUUGUUGUAACAUCCCAUUUAAUAGAGUAAAUCUACUAAAUAAAAUAUUAUAGAUUUGAUAGAACAUAGCAAAUAGACAAAAAAAACAUGUAGUUUAUCUUUACAAUUAUCCAAAGUAAUAACUAUAUCAAUAAAAACACAUAUUUGUAGAACCUUCUAAACACAGAGUAUUUUAAAAGAUGUAAACUGUUAUACAAAACGUCUAAUUACUUAUAUAUCUACAUCUAUUAAUGACGAACUGACACCUAGAACAUCCUCUGCUUACACCAAAUGGAGAUCAUUGCCAAAAAGAUUAUAAUACAAAGAGACAUACAAUAAAAAAAGUUAAAUUUGUUAAGAACAAUCAAAAGAGAGUUAGAGCUAUGUGUAAAAAGAAAUGUGAUUUUUUAAUUAUGACUAGCAAGGUAGGAGGCAACCAUAACUUUAGGGUCAAGACACUUGUUGGGCGUCACAAAUGUGGAAGGGUUUUGGUAACAAAAAUGCAAGUGUACAGUGGAUUGCACGAAUAUUAGUUAACAAAUUUAUAGAUGUGGGGAACAUGACAUUGAACCAAAUAAUUGAUGAAAUUAAGAAGACACAUAAUGUUGGCAUAACACCUUGGAAGACUGGAAAAACAAAAGAACUUUUAAUGGAUUGUUUGAUGGGAUGGACAAUGAUAAUAUGCUCGUCUAUAUGACUAUGUUGCUAAAUUGGUUAGAGUUAAGACUGAAACAUUCAAGAUGAAGGUCUAUCAACCCCAACCGACUUUAACACCAAAGUUUGAGUCUUUUUACAUGUAUUUAAAGGGUUGUAAGGAGAGCUUCUUGGGUGGUUGUAGAUACUUAAUUGAUGUUGACUGUAACAUCCCAAAAAUAUAAGUAUAUCUAUAUCAUGUGGAAUGCAACAUAUUAUAAUAAUAGAAAGCAGUUAGGAGUAGUAGCAGAUGAAGUGUAUAUAAUACAAUCAUCCAAAAUAUGGUGUAAGCUCUACUUAUAGCAUAGAGUCUUUCAAAAUGAAAUAAAAGAAAAGGAACUAAGCUGUAUACNUAAAACUAACAGCCUAAACUACUCAGCCGCAGUGUCAGGGACUUCAANAGCAUCAGCUACGUCUAAGACUUGCUCCAGAGGGUCUCUGAAAUCUCUGCUCACAUCCAAAUAGGAUGAUCAUUGCAAAAGAAAACAAACACAAGCAAAAACAAACAACACACAUGCAAGGGUAAGCUAGAAUUCAAUUGAAAACAAGUCAAUGACAGUUAAACAUAGCAAAAUAGACAUACAAGCAAUUACAAUCACAGAGGAACAGUUUUAGUAAAUUAUAAGUUGUGGUUUUAUUAGGUAGUGUUAGUUUUAGACUCGUCCGGACCCGGAAUGAAUAUCGAGCUAUGGCGGGUCAUGCACUUGUGGUGGCCUCUACUGCUUUGCAAAGCCAUUGCCAAUGGGUUUCACCCUACCACACACAAGGUUAUCCGUUAUCACUCACCUUGGCCCAUAUACAAUGGAGACAACCAAGACUAGGACCCCUACUGCUCUUCACCACAUGAACUAAUCUUCUCUAAGUGAGAUUGAAUAGUCAUUAGAGCUUUAAGGGCAACCCCCAAGACUGAGCUACCUAUAUUCAUUCNAGAAACUUAACUUGAAUNACUCAUUCUUGGCCCAUAUAAAAUGGAGACACCCAAGAUUGAGCUUCAUAUAUUCAUUCUCAUAACUUAAUUUGAUCUCACCUAGAGAUGUAUUUAACUCUUUGAUUCACACUUCAUACCAUACCAUUCUUCACUCACUUUGAUUCUUAAGUUUUUAUAAGUUUUUGUGUUAACUUAGUUUAAUUUGAUACACAGUCAUUUUGGGGUUAGAUUGAUUCAAUUCCAUACAAAUCCUACAUAAUUAACUCAUACAAUACAAAAAAAGAAUUAUACAAUGCUAGAAAUAAGUCAUACAUUACAUAUUUUCACAUAAACAUCAUUUAUUAAUACCACUUUCUUUAUCAACUAUAAUUACCUAUACUUAAGUAAUUCAAAUGGUUCCGAAACCAUCACCAACGGUUCCGGAAGGGUCUAAAACCCCCAAAACGACCUAAAGAACGUCCAAAACGGACGUCCGGAACCCCCCAAACUAUCAAAAACAAAAGCACCCGCAGAGAACUGCGCCCAACGCCAUUUAGUGGCGCCCAGCGUGACUUUUCCUGCUGGAAACAGCAGGAAAUGGCGCCCAGCGCCAGUUUUGUGGCGCCCAGCGUGACUUUCUGCUGGAAACAGCAGGAAUUGGCGCCCAGCGCCAGUUUUGUGGCGCCCAGCGUGAAUUAUGCAGAUUUUUCUGCAUAAUUGAGCAACUCUACCCCCUAAGUUUUGUUUUAAGCCUUUUGGUGAACUUUGGACACUCCUAACUCGAAAUACAAGUUGAAUCUAACUUGUUUGAAGUCUCACACACCAUCCUAACUCAAAACUCUAAGAGAUAUGCAAGGAAAUUAGAUCUAAAAUACUCAUUUAAUCCCCCUAGGAGCUCAAUCUGAAUUCUACUACUUGGAAACCAUUUUAGACCAUUUUUACACUUCCUAUAAGUCACAAUUGACUUAACUAAGCUGUCUUAAUUACCUAUUUCAAAGCUAGACCCCUAUUUUGCAAUUUCACUACCCAAGUUCCUUAUUUUCAACUCAAACGCUGAAAUCAACUUAGCCAUUUUACUUACAACCUGUAAAACUNAAUUCUUAUCUUUAAACCAUAACUGCACAAUAUAAUCUAGUCUUACAAUUCACAAUUUAUCCAUUACCAAUUCACAUCAAGCACAAACCAUAGAUAUUAUUUUCAGCACAUGCAUUCCAAACAAGNAUUAUACAAUUUUAAUGAAAAACAGUAACCUAAUUUGUUACAAAUCCUUAACAUGCAAUACCUCAAAAACUCCUAAAACAAUUCUACGAAACAUACCCACAAGCUUCAAACAGAAUUUGAGAUUUAGCUUCCCUUACCUGGCUUUGCACAAAACAACUCAAAGCUUGCUACCAAGGUUCCCCAAUUUUUUCAGAAUUCUGCCCCAACCCUAAGGAUCACAAAUUUGUGAUCAAAACAGAAUUGAAAGUGNGAUUUUAGCUAGAAAUUGAAGAGGGAAUGGUCAAGAACACAUGCAAUUGGUAAAUUGCAUGCUCCAAGACUUGAAUCAGUAAAGAAAAGCGGAACUGGCUUACCUCUUCUCCAGAAUCAGAAUUGAGAAUGGAAUUUGAUGAAACUUGGGAGAGUCUUGGCUUCCAAGUGGGUUAAGCAGCUACGAGAGGUAAGUGGAGUGGAUUAGUGUGGAGAUGGGAGAGAUGUGAACCUGGGAGAAGGAAGAACAGCAGAGAAAUUGAAGAGGAGUAUGGUUUGGAGACAAUUUUAAAAGGAAGGUUUAUGUAAGAAAAGGGUUCUUCACAUUGACAAUUGUCAUCUAAAAACAUCCUAUGGUGGUCAAUUAUUAGUGGCAGUGGAUAUAGACCUUAAUGACCAAUAUUUUUCACUAGUUUUUGCUAUUGUUUAAAACAAAUGCAAAGUUUGUUGUUGAUUUAACUAACCAAACCAGUAGUUCUUACUUUUUGGAUUUGGUUGACAUACCUUGUAGACAUAUUAUGGUUAUAAUUCAUUAUAAAUUAGAGAACCUUGAAGAUUAUGCUCAUCCAUAUUACAAGAAACAUGCAUAUGAAAGUUGUUGUGGAUCUUAAAUUAUCCCAAUCAGUGGACAUCAAUUGUCGUCUAAAAGUAAUUGUUCAUAAUACUUCCACCUAUUUAUAAAAAAUCACCUGAGGGCUUAAGAAACUAAGAAGAAGGAAAGUCGAUAAAUAUAUCAUUCAUUCAAAAUUAUCAUAGAAAAAUAUUAUUAUGAAGUGUAGCAACUAUAAUCAAUAUGGACAUAAUAUUAGAAGUUGUAGAAAGGGGAUGAAAACCAAAAAAGUACAACUGCAACUUACAUCAUUUUCAAUAUUUGUUAUUCAUACCAUUUUGUGCAUAUACAUUACACUCAUAACCAUUCCUCAAAUACAACCAUGCACCUGUUCUCCAAAAUAAUUAGCUAAAACUGCAGAACAUGUUGUUAAUAUGCUAGGAAAUGUAAAUUGAUUAGGCUUAAUCUCUUCUUCAUGCAUAUAACAAAAAAACUCAAUUGACUUAUGGCCAUUUCCAUUUUGAGCAUAACCAGUAACCAUGGUAGUUCAUGGCACAUGAUUUCACUUGUCAAAGGCCAAAUCCUUGAAGAGAAUCUCGACUUCCGAAACAUGCAUACAUUUUCCAUUCUUCACAACAUAGUUUUACAUGUUCUACCUUCUACAUUAGUAUGUUCCAUUAAAUAACAUUGUAUAUUAAGAAAUUAGAACAAAUAAAUCUAAGUCUUGAAACACUAAUCCAAUUGACAUAAAAUUAUAAAUAAAUUCAUUUUUUUUUUUACUUUUACCAAAGAUUUAAAAUAGCGGACUGUCUCUGGAAGUUUUAUAUUAAAGGGAUCAUUGCGUUAGCUAUAUUGAUUCUACACCAAUAAAUAAAACAUAAAUAUAUAACAAGAUUAUUACCAUGUUAUCGAUCUUUCCAAUUGAUCGGAAACUCUAACACUCAAUAUUACCCAUUUAUUUUUAUAGCACUAUAAGAGAAUCAAUUCAAAUUAAACAUUUUAUAUAACAAAAGAAAAACUUGAAUAAAAUAAAAUAUUCUAUAAUGAAUAAUUUUACAAUGUUACAUAUAUCUAAAAAACAUGUUUUAUAAAUUGAAAUGGAGUUGAAAAAAAAAAGUAUUUGACUAUUUUUUAAAUAACAUUUUUUUAAUUUGGUAUUUUUUAAAAUUAACUAUUUUUUUUCCAAUCAAAUUAACAUUUUUCUUUUUCUUCAAGGCACCCUCACCUGUUAAAGUUUUGCAUCUUGGAAAGUUGUAUAACCUGUUGUUAGUACACUAAAAUAAUGAAUUUUACUUAUCACUUAUUGAUAAAGUAAAAAAGAUAUAUACUUUGCAUACAAUAUUUUUUACUUGAUAUUAUUUUAUUUUUAUGUUUUUUUAAAUAUAAAAAUUAUUUUUUUAUGAAUAUUUUAUUUUUAUAUUGAAUAUUAAAUAAAUGUAAAAGUAUGUUAUUUUAUCAUUAAAAUAUAUUAAAAAAUAAAAAAAUGACCCAAUUGAAUUUGGAAUAUAUUGGAAAUCAUUAUCACCAAAGAUGAUUAUGUAAACUAUGUCUUUAAGUUUAAUUUGCAAGACACAAUGCAAAUUGAGUUGUGUAAACUUAAAGGAAAAACAAUUAGCCAACAAUAAGUUUGUUACCUGCUUUUUAUUGUAUGAACAUUGCUUCAUAUUUUUCCAAUGUUCAAGUUUCUUUACUUUGGUCUUUCAUUAUUUUUUGAACCAAUUUAGUUCAUUAAUCAUAAGUAUUUAAUUUAAAAGUGAUUCGAUGUACUUUUAAAAUUGAAUAAAUUUAUGGAUGAUUGAAAAUUAAAGGAUCACAAUUACCUAAAUAAAUCAGGAUCAAUAAUAACUAAAAAUUAAGGAAGUAAAAUUGUGAAGAAAAAAAAAGUUAGGUAUCAAAGUUACAGAUUUUAUAGAAUAUACAAUAAAAACUAUAAUUGAAACAACAUUAAAUUAAAUUAAAUAUGGUAUUCCUAGAGCUAAGAGAAAAUUAAAAGAUAUUCCUAAAUUCAAAAAGUUAAUUUUUUUUGUUUAAAUUUAAGUCAUAUAGAUAAAAUUAAUUUUAGUUUUAAAUAUAAUGAUAAAAUACCAUAAUUUUCAAAUUUUUUAAAAUCAUAUACCUUAGCUUUAAAAGCCUACAUCCCAUAACCCUAAUCCUAAUUAAGCAACCCAUUUGAAUCACAAAAUUAAACAGGUGGAGACAAGAUUGUUUUGCUUACUAUUUUUACAGGGGUGAUAUCGUAAAAUUACCUGUUAUUGUCAACUUUUUUGGUACUUUUUUUUUUUUUUAAUAAUUUUAAGACAUUUUAUUUGAUAAAGAAAAAAGUGCCGGCGAAUUUGAUUCACGGCGAGUGUAGCCAAAGCGGUGAAGUGGUGUCACCACGCUGGCUCUGCUUCACUGCUACCUGGGAAUUGUCGUCCCCUUUUCAACACAAACAAAAUACUCUCUUACUUCCAUUUUUUUGCUUCACAUUCCUAAGCUAACAGCCACCCUUUUCGUAGCUUGACCAGGUACGGUCUUUUCCUUGCUUACUUUGAUUCUCUUUCUACUUUACUUGCAUCUUUUUUUUUUUUUUUUUUUUUCCAUUUGGGUCUUCAAAUCUAUUCACAAAUCAUGUUUUUUUAGUCUUUUCUUUCUAAAAAUGUUACCUUUAAGUUCCCUUUGUGCUGUUGUUAAUCUGUUCUUCUAGCUUUUUUCUGGGUUUUGUUUAUUUUGGAUUUUUUUUUAUGGCAUUUGUUUCUUCUGCACUGGCUGUUAUGAAGUAUAAUUGGAAGCACAGUAACCUGCGCUCUGGUGAAUUACUGAUGUCUGCUAUUUUCUUGAUUUUUGUGUUUUAUGUUUUGUAAACGUAAAAUAAUUUAUUUGUUUGUUUGUUUAUUGAUCUCCGGAUUAAUUGGUUUAUGCUUUCUAGCUUGAUUUAGGGUGUGUUUGAUUUUUCUUUCCAAAAUUGUUUAGUUUUUGAAAUACAACUGAACUAGGUUGCUCAGACAGCUGGCUGAGGAUGGUGCAAGGCAUAGGGAGGGUGGAGAAUUGAGUGAGUGGUUGAGCAAAAUGAAAACAUCUCACUUGUAAACAAUUCUCAAAACUUUCUAGAUUUUGGAUGAGAAAUUGAUUACUGGCUGAGUGGUAUGAAAUAUUACUCUAGCAAACAGUUUUAAAACUAAAAUGUGAAAGAGAAUCAAACAAACCCUAAUUGUUUUCUUUUUUUUUCCUCAACGUUGUACAAAGUAAACCUGCAAAGUGAAUUACUUGUCUCAGUGGUGUGUGACUGACGGCUAUUGUUAUUGAUUGUUUAUAUUUGAUAAGUUAUAUGAGUUUUGUUGUAGGAAAAGUUGUGAAUUUCUGGAAUAGUUAUAAGCUUGGUAUUUCUUUGGUUUCUAUUGAGAGUUGUGUUGUCAAAAUUCCAGGGAUUCAUGUUAUCAUGGAUGUGAAAACAAAGAGGAGAGGUGUUAUUGAGAAUGGCAAUGGAGGGGAGGACAAGGUUAUGGCGAAUUUGAUUGCAAAUGGAGAUGAUGUUGGUCCCCUUGUUAGGCUCUCUUUCGAAAUGGGGCGGCCUGAGGGGCUUCUUCACCAACUGACAUAUGUGGUUAAGCAAAAGGAAGCAGAAAUUGAGGAGAUGUGCAAGACCCACUAUGAUGAAUUCAUCCUUGCAGUUGAUGAGCUUCGUGGUGUGUUAGUUGAUGCCGAGAAGCUGAAAAGUGAGCUCCAAAGUGACAAUUUUAAGUUGCAGCAGGUUGGCAGCACCCUUCUUGCCAAGCUUGAAGGGCUUCUUGAGUUGUAUUCUAUUAGGAAAAAUAUCACUGAAGCUAUAGAAGUGUCGAAGAGCUGUAUACAGGUGCUGGAGCUUUGUGUAAAGUGUAACAGCCAUAUUUCAGAAGGUCAGUUUUAUUCUGCAUUGAAAACUUUGGAUUUAAUUGAGAAAAGUUGCACACAGAAUAUUCCUGCAAAAACUCUCAAAGAGGUCAUAGAGAAGAGAAUUCCUGUUAUAAAGUUGCACAUUGAGAAGAAAAUGUGUAUCCAAGUUAAUGAGUGGAUGGUUGAUAUAAGGAGUUCUGCUAAAAAUAUUGGGGAAACAGCAAUUGGUCUUGCUGUGACAGUUCGUCAAAAGGACCAGGAAAUGCUAGAACAACAGAGGAAGGUUGAGGAGCAAAGUAUUUCAGGACUAGGGGAUCUAGGUUAUUCUUUAGAUGCUGAAGAAGUUGAAGAAGAUUCAGUUUUACAGUUUGAUCUUACACCACUUUAUCGCGCAUAUCAUAUUCAUGAUUGCUUGGGUAUCCUAAACAAGUUUCGUGAAUAUUACUAUACUAAUAGGUUGUUACAAUUGAAUUCAGACCUUGAGAUAACUUCAGCACAGCCUUUUGUUGAAUCAUACCAGACAUAUUUUGCUCAAAUUGCUGGAUUCUUUAUAGUGGAGGAUAGAGUCCUUAGAACGACUGGGGGCCUCCUUGAAGCUGAUCAGGCUGAAACAAUGUGGCAGACUGCUGUAGCUAAAAUGACUUCACUGUUGGAGGAGCAGUUUUCUUGUAUGGAAUCCGCCCCUCAUCUUCUCCUGGUGAAGGAUUAUGUCACUCUGUUUGGGUCUACUCUUAGACAUUAUGGAUAUGAAAUAAGCACAUUUCUUGAUGUUCUUGAUAGCAGUUGUGACAAAUACCACAUGCUUCUUUUGGAAGAAUGCCGGCAACAAACUGUGGAUGUCUUUGGUAAUGAUCCAUAUGACCAAAUGGAGAUAAAGAAGGAAACUGACUAUGAGAAUAUUGUGCUGUCAUUUAAUCUUCAAACAUCUGAUAUCAUGCCUGAAUUUCCAUACAUUGCACCAUUCUCCUCCAUGGUACCUGAUACUUGUCGCAUUGUGAGAUCAUUCAUCAAAGGUUCUGUUGAUUUCUUAUCUUAUGGCAUACAAGUGAAUUUCUUUGAAGUUGUGAAAAAGUAUUUGGACAAGUUCCUGAUUGAUGUACUAAAUGUAACAUUACUUGAGAAAAUCAACAGUGGCAAUAUCACUGUACCUCAACUCAUGCAGAUUGCUGCAAACAUAACUGUUCUUGAAAGAGCCUGUGAUUUUUUCCUUCGACAUGCUGCCCAACUGUGUGGCAUCCCAGUACGAUCAGUUGGAAGGCCUCAAGCUACUUUAACUGCAAAGGUGGUCUUGAAGACAUCCAGGGAGGCAGCUUUCAUUGCCCUACAGAGUCUGGUGAACACAAAGAUAAGCGAGUUUAUGAAUCUUUCUGAUAGUGUUAAUUGGACUCCCGAGGAGACAAAUGAGAAUGGAAAUGACUACAUACAUGAAGUGAUCAUUUACCUUGACUCUUUCAUGUCCCCAGCACAACAAAUUCUACCCUUGGAUUCUGUGUACAGAGUUGGGAGUGGUGCUUUUGAGCACAUCUCAAAUUCAAUAGUGGCAGCUUUCUCUAGUGAUAGUGUUAAAAGAUUUAAUGUAAAUGCAGUUAUAAAUAUUGAAUAUGAUCUUCAGAUCAUAGAAAAUUUUGCAGAGGAGAGGUUCUAUUCUGCUGGUUUGGGAGAAAUGUACAAUGAAGUUAGUUUUAAGAACUGCUUGGUAGAAGCACGUCAAUUAGUCAAUCUUUUGCUAAGUAGUCAACCAGAGAGCUUCCUGAAUCCUGAUAUAUGGGAGAAAAACUAUUAUGCACUUGAAAUUAAGAAGGUGGCUGCCAUCCUUGAUAAGUUCAAGGAUUCUCCAGAUGGGAUCUUUGGAAGCCUUGCUAAUAAAAAUGCAAAGCAAAGUGCUAGGAAGAAAUCAAUGGACGUUCUCAAAAAGCGACUUAAGGAUUUCAGUUAAUAAGAUUUGAAAACAUUCAUGAGGAAGUGGACUAUAGUUGAAGUAUUUUUCUUGUUUCUUGUGGAUGCUUUAACUUCAUAAUGAACAUGUUUUCUAUAUUGUUCUGAUUUGUUUGUGCAUCAUUUGAAUUAAUUUGUCAUGAAAUGUUGUUUAUCAAAUGUUUAUUACUGCUUGGAUGAAGCACUUUUGGAGUUAUCAAGUAAAUUUGCUGGAAUCAGAGUCAAACUUUAGUAUUUAUUUGAUCUUAUUUAUGAGGAUUUGCUGCUAAUAAUGACCAUGAUUUGGUCCCAAAAUAAGAGGAUAUUUGUCUAAUAUAACAAAUUCAACAUUGUUAGUUGUUUUCUUUUCUAUUUACUAAUUCUCAAGCAUUAGGAUAUUUACAUUCUGGGAUAUUUAAAAUGAUUCAAUCAGAAAUAGUAAAGAUCAGUGCAUUUUUUUUCUCCCUUAUUUAUUUUCAUGUUAGUAUAAAAUGCCCUAGGGCUCCAUCAUAAUUUCAAAGCUAUAGUUUAAAGCUAUAUAUGAAUUUGUGCAUUAUUAGUGCCCUAGGUCAACUGAGAAUGUAUUAUUAGUGCAUUAUAUGAAUCUAUAUCACCCAAUUCUUAAUUGAAUAUUCAAGUCUCUUUGACUAAGAGGUUACUCCAUUAAUAUUCCUUCCUAGGUUUCCAUAUGGGUUUGAGCCUACUGCUCAAUGUGACAUAAUUAUAUCAUUUCUUAAUUAAUCUAAACAUUGUAAUGUUAAGUUUAUGACUUUAUCCUUAAUGGUGGGUUAAAAGAGAAUAAUGUGUAUACAACAUUAUUGCAUGGGUUAAAGGGGAUGAUAGGUUAUAAACUAUCAUCGAUUUUGAUCCUCAAAUAAUAUUGAAAGAGUAGGAAGGUUUGAACCACUGUUUCAUCACCGAUGUUUUGGUUCAAAGUUUGUUACAUUAAUAAGCUUUCUAAACUUCUGAUAGGUAUUGUUCUUCUGUGAAUUUUGUGCGAGCAUUCACACUUUUGUAGUUAAAAAAUAUAUAUGUUUUCACUUUAAUAAGUUUAAAAAAAUAGUAUUUAUGAAUUAUUCUUAAUCUUAAUUUUCAAACAAUUUUUGUUGUCUGUUAUAACAUAAGCAUCACUUAAUUUUUAGAAUUUGCCAUAUAAUAUAUUGUACAAGGGUUUUGGAUCAGGAUUUUAAAAGUGUUUUAUAUUAAAGUCUUAUGAAAUUUAAAUAUUGUAUAUAAUAUUGUAAUUUUUUUUUCUUUUAAAUCAUGAUUGGCUUAGGAAGUAGAAGAGCUCAUAAAACGGAUUAUUAAAGUAUCAUUAAAGUAUUUUUAGUAGUGUAAGAUUAAUUAGAUUUGUUGCAUACAUUAUUUUUAUUUUAUAUUUAUUCUUUAUAUUUAUUUAGUUUGCUAUUAUUUUUAUUUGUAUUUUGGAUUUAGUUCAUAUUUCUUUUAUUAUAAAUAAAAGACUUAAUAGGUAUAUUCAAUACAAGAGAGAUUAAUCUCAUACAUAACUUUUCACUAUAUUUAAUAUAUUAUCUAGAGUCUAACAAUCUUUCGAGGAAAAAAAAUUGUGAUUGUCUUUGCCAUUAUACUCGCCAUCGGCACUAUCGUCUAUUGUUGUCACUACUUGAGUUUUAGUUUCAAUCAAAGAUCACACGAUUUUGAUCAUGUUGGUCAUGCAAUUACUGUGUCGUCAACAAUGUCUUCAUCAGAGCUCCUACUCACUUUUAGUGUCUUUUGAAGUUAAGGAUCUGCUCUCUUUUUCUGUCGUGCAUGGUGACAUGUCUCUUCUCCUCUUAGGCAACAAUUUAGAGGGUUGAGGUCGCUCUUUUUCCUCUUUCAGAUUCGUCGUGCGUGGUUGCACGCUUCGUCUCCUCUCAAACAGCUAUUCAGAGCAUCAAUGUUGUUUUAACAAGCUUGAUGCAUAUGAUUUAUAUACACUAGCUUGAGGGGGAGUGUUAGAUACAUUAUCAUUAUCUUUUCUUUAUCUUUAUCUUUAGUUAGUAUAUUAUUAUUUCUUAUUUGAAUUUUGGGUUUAGUCCAUAUUUAUUUUAUUAUAAAUAGAUAACCCUAUGUUUAUAUUCAACACAAGAGAAAUUAGUCUCAUACAUAGUUUUUCACUGUAUUCAACAAGAUUAAAUGUUGUUUUGAAAACUUCUUGAUGAUGUUUAUCUGAAUAGCUUUUUGUUAUCUUUAUUUUAUAUAAAAAAAGAUAUUUACUUUUUGAAAUAUAUUUUUCUUUUUGUCUUAUCUAUAAGUAGAUUUUUUUUUCUUUUUCUAAUUGUUUUUGUGCUUUCUUGUUAUUAUUGUACAAAUUGUUGGAUAAACAGAAGAAAGUAUAAAAGAACCAAGUGAAGACAACCACCAAUUUAAGAUUGGUGUUUCAUCUUUUUAAUUCCAAUACAUUGACAUAAAUACUAAUUUAAAUUUAAACACAUUUUUUUUCAUAUUUUAAAUUUUGUAAGGGAUGAUCGUUCGGUCAAUCAUAAAUCAGACGGUCAACCAUUACUCGAAUCAUCUGAUGAGCUAUUACCGAGACUGGUCAGUCAUGAGUCAGCAUGAUUACUUUAAUGCUGAUCAAAUUAGAGGUAAAGUGUAAUUAUCCUCAUCGUUGAUGUAUAACCAGCACAACCGAGUCUUCAAGAUUGUCCACCUUAUGGACAAGAAGUCGAAGUCCAUGCUGCCUAUCACCUUCACAAAUGAAGACUUCAAAGCCCCUGGCCUUGAUUUCGAUGACCACAUGGUCAUCACGAUUGAGAUAGCCCAACACUUGGAAAACAAGAAAAACGACUUAGAUAGCCUAAAAUUGUGUAAGACUUGAAAAACGAGGCAUAUAGACUGGAGCAUUUGAGUGGGAAGGCCAUCCCCAACACUUGGAACACUUUCCAUUUGAAGUUUAAUUUUAGUUAAACAUUUUACAAAUCUUAUAUAACUUCCCUUUGAAAGAAUGCAAUAAAGAUGUUUUUUAGGAAAAUGCGUGCAAGUGUGGUCUGAGUCGAGUAUUAAUAACUCAGUGAAGGAAAAGUUCACUUAUGCGAAUCCCUGCCAACCACACGUUGAGCUGGUGAAGGAUGAGUUUUGUAAAGAACCUUUGUCGCUUGGUCCAAUAAAUUAAACUAGAAGUUGGUGAAGGAAGAGUUCACCCAAGUGAACCCAUGCUGCACCACUAAACUGGUUAGGGAUGAGUUCACUUAAGUGAGCCUUUACCAAUUGUAUAUUGAGGCAGUGGAAGAAGAGUUAUGUAAAAAAAACCCUACCCCCCGGUCUAAAUAAAUCGGCGAAGGAAGAGUUCACCUUAGUGAGCCCUUAUUGAACACAUGCCUGUUAAGACAAGCUUAUCUACAACAUCUUUGGUUUUGAAGUUUAACAAACAACAUUAAACGAAGUAGUCUUAAGUGUAGUCUGAAACUCUCAAACAGCUAAAACAAAAGAAUACAAAGACUAAGAUUACAAUAGUCAAAACACUAAACGUUACAAGAGCAACACAAGAACACUAAGUAUAGAUUAAAAGGCGUAUACACAACAAGUCUAUUGAAAAGCUGAAACUCAAGAAAUGACAAUUAAUGAAAGAAAUAAAAUGAAACAACAUAAGAGUUAAAACAUUUAAAUCCACACAAGAAAUACUCAAGUAUAAAUAACCAAACACUAAGAAUCCAAAAAGUGUUCGACAAGAAAAGUUACACAAAUAGUGUCACUAGGAAGAAAAGAAAAAGCUACCAAAGGGCGAAGACUCCUCUAACGAAGACAACUGGACAAUCGACAUUAUCACUUAUAUAUGAAGAGUGAUCAGUUUGAAGCAGAGAGUGCAAUAGUAAAUUUGAAAAUGAUAGAGGGAGAACCAACCCUAUUUAUAGUCAUGUAUGCCUUACCUAACAACCACUUUUAAUUGUUAGAUCAAGUCAAAUCCAAUGACUAAAAGCAUUCCCUUUAAAUUCUGACAAGUGUAGGAUCAGAAGUGUCACAUGCUUUCCUCUAGUGGUCAUUAUUUUUAAUACUUCAAAAGGUAUUCGUCCAGUAUGUCAAAUGGUCUAAAUGUUUUAUAAAUGGACGAUUAAAAGACUUUAACCACUUGAUCUGACCAUGACGCCCCUACGGAGGCAGUGUCUUUCCAAUGAAUAGAACUGCACUUGGUCUACAUGGACAACAAGAGGUAUUUAACCAACUUCAAACCCCUUCAUCAAUCAUUUUAGGCUCGGGCUUGGGGGUAUGUGUAACGUAUGAUUGUUCGAUUAGCUACAAAUUGCACCGUCAACCAUUACUUAAACCAUUUAAUGAGCCAUCAGUGAGACCGGUCGACCUAGAAGCAAAGCGCUCGACUAUGAGUGAGCAUGUCUAACCUUAAUGAAGAUCAAAUUAGAGGUAAAGUGUGAUUAUCCAUAAUUGGACCAUAAUUAGGUUAAUGUUAAUCAAAAGCCCAAUCUGAAACCUAUAAAUACAGGUUGGGUGUUGUUCCCUCCACCUCCCCACUAUUUUCAUUUAUUUCAAAAAUAUUUUACACCUCCCCACUAUUUUCUUUUAUUCCAAAAAUACCCUACACCCCCACUAUCAUCAACAAUCUUUCUCUUUCUCUCUCUACAUUAAUGAAGCAUUCACAUUGUUCAGAUUUGAAUUUGUGAUAUACUGCAAAAUAUAAAAUUCAGAGAAAAGAUCAACAUUAGUGCUUCUAUCACUUCCAUUUUAUAUUAAUAGUAAAUAAUAAUAAUAAAUUAAUAUUAUUAUAUACUAACUUUAUAAUGACAAAGAAACUAAAUAAAUUCCAAAUUUUUAACAAAUAACUUUUCUUUUAUAUUUUAAGUAUUUAAUAAGAUUUUUAUAUUAUUUAUCUAAUAAAUUAAAUAUUUUAUUCAAUUUAUUUGAGUCGAAUAUGUUUGUAAGUUAAAACAUAAUAUAAUGUUAAAAAUUAUAGAUAUUAAAUGUAAAAAAGAACACACAUAUAUAUAAACAUUUUUCUAGAAAUUUAGAACAAAAUUUUACCAUUUAUUAAGUAAUUUGAAGAAAAAAAAAAUAUUGAACAACAAAAAUAAGAUUGAAUCAAACUUAUUUAAGGGAAUAUAUCAGAAAUUCAAAUUUGAGUAAUGUAAAUGCUCCAUCAAUGUAGAGAGAAAAAGAAAGAUUGUUAAGGAUAGUGGAGAGGUGUAGGGUAUUUUUGGAAUAAAAGAAAAUAGUGGGGAGGUGUAAAAUAUUUUUGAAAUAAAUGAAAAUAGUGGGGAGGUGGAGGAUCACUUGGGGAGGUGGAGGGGGCAACACCCAUACAGAUUUGGGGUAAAUAGGUAGGUGAUAUGCAUUUACUACAUCAUUAUUUUUUGGGCGUUGCUCCCUGCACCUCCCCACUUGCUCCCUACACCUCCCCCUUCCAUUUUUAUCCUUUUCUCUAUUUUUUCUAUUCCUAUUUUAUCCUUUAGUAAAAUUUUUAUUUAGGGUUAAAAUUUUAUGAUUUCAUUCACUCACCCCCACAUAACCUAAUUAUUUUCAUCUUUACUUUUUCUUCCUAGAAAUUCUUUGUCGUAUUUUUCUUUACUGUGGUGUGAAAUUGUGGUGAUUGAGACAUUGUUUAAAAAUAAUGCCUGAAAGAAUUGUUCAAAGUUCAAUUGUUACAUCAUUGUGUAUGUUCGUGGUGGUGCUUAGAGCUUGUUCGUGGUGGUGCUCAAAGCUUUAACCGGCGAGGUACACCCUUUUUGAAACUUCUUUAAAAGGAUAUGGGCAUCCGUCGAUGGAUAUCGUCAUCCGUUUCAGGUCCAAACAAAUGUGUGACAUCCGUUUAUGCCUGGCGUCUUUUUCCUCCGCACUCAGACAAUUUCAAACACAGAAAAACGAAACCAGACCCACAAAGCAACACAUAAAUACUAUAUUACAUACAUUAAAAAAAAAAACAAACAGAAAUCUAACACAACCUUAUAUCAUGUGGAAGAAACGAAACGAAAAACUAACCUGUCGAACCUGUCGAAGAUCAACAGACAGAAACACACCACCGAACACACCGCCGCCCCUCCACAAAAACCCGCAGCACCGCCGCACGCACAGGCCACACCGCCACACACACCAAAACCUGCACCACUACGAAAUGCACAGAGGAGGACCACGAAAUGCACUGGACUGGGAGAUUUAGGAGUAAGAGGUUAAAAAAAAUGAAACUCAGAAGGGGAACAGGAGUCAAAAGGUGGGGGUGCUAUUACAGUUGAGUGAAAUAGAAAAGGGAAAAGUAAAUCUAGGGUUACUUAAAUAGAGGAUUAAAAAAGUAAAAAAUAAAAUAAAAAAAGGUUAUUUUGGUAAUAUGAAAAAAGUUAAAAAAAAAUGGGGAGGUGCAAGGUGGAAUGGGGGAGGUGAAGGGAGUAACGCCCUUAUUUUUUAAACUAUCAAAAUCAAAUUAGGCUAAUUUUGACAUCGGAGUGCCUAGGGAUGGCAAAAAAAGUCUGUGCCCAAAGAUAAAAUCUGGGGUGUUGCUUCCUGCACCUCCACAGAAUGCUCCCUCCACCUCCCCAUUCUUCUUUUACCCUUCUGUAAAUUUUUAAUUUUCUGUUUUUACUAUCACCAACAUCCAACCAUUUUAUUAAAUCUGCACCUCCACACCCACCACUCCACGGAAAUCAACGAGCCUCCUUGACUCUCUUUCUCUCUCUCCCUCUUUUUCUCUUUGGUAUUCUCUCACUCACCGUCCAUGGCUCCUACUAUUGCAUACAAGUCCUAAUAGCCACCCCUUAUCACUCUCUUUUACUACAUGGAAAUGAAAAGCUUGAGCCAGUAAUCAUUAUUCUUCUAUCGUUUUAAUUACUGGGUAUCAUUCAAACUUCAUUUUAGUCCUUAAUCUUACAGUGUCGCCAAUACCACUUUUGAAAUUUUCCUUCCACACCUUGAGUUUUCGCUUGGUUUUUUAGCUCCUAUGAAAAUUUUCAUUUUUGAAUGGGUGGAUGAAAAGAAGAAUGAGGGGUAGUGGAAGAACAUAUGGCAAUCAAAAGAUGAGGAAGUGAUAGCGUAGUGUGGUCGGCGAAAUAAAGAUUAGAAGGAGAGAAUGAGUACUGGGAGAGUUGAUUUUUCUUCUAGUUGGCAGUGAAGAAAUGGAUGUGAAGAGAAAGAGAGAGAGUGAGAAGGGGGUGGGGGUGGGGGUGAGGGUGGGGUUGCAGUUGUCUAUGAUGAAAAUAAGAGGGAGGUAUUGAUUAAUUAGGGUUUUGACAUAAAAGUAAAAAAAAGGGUAAAAGUUAAAAGUAAAAAGGGUAAUUUUGAAAUUAAAAGAAAAAAUUGGGGAGGUGUAGGCACUGUGUGGUGGUGGAGGGAGCAACUCCCUAAAAUCUGUGAUGAAUAGUUGGUAUCCGUGAAUAUUUACUAUCCACGGGUUGAGGGUAUUAUACUAUUUGUACCGCGGAUAUCCACUUCUCGUAAAAAAUAAAAAUAAAAAUAUAAUUUAUAUUUUAUUAAGUUUAAUUUAAUUAAAAUUAAAAUUAAUUUAUAUUUUAUAAGGUUAAAUUUAAAUAAAAUUAAAUUUUAAUUUAUAUUAUAUUAUAUUUUAUACAUUUUUAUAAUUUUAUUUAAAUUUUAUUUUAAUAAUUUAUAAAAAUAUAUUUUUUAAAUAUUUACGAGUAUUCGCAAGUAUCUAUGAGUACCUGCGAGUUUUAAAAUAUCUACGUGUAUUUUUUAAGCAAAUAUCUAUGCAGGUGAAUUUUUUUUUUUAAGUUGAAUUACAGGUAAACACUAUCCUAGUCCGACCCAACCUAUUAAGAGUGUCUUUUGAUGUAUCCUCCAAAUAAUUUAAACAAAAGAUUAAACUAAAAUCUUAAACUUCAUAAUACCAGACCUUAAAUCAUUGACCUUAAUCCUACAUUCUUAAACAAAUUUUAAUAUAUAUUACAUAAUAAUAAAAAAAUUAUAAUACAUUAAAUUAUUAUAUUAUAGUAACUUAAAAGUAUUUAUCCAAUUUAUUUCAUUUAUAUAAUAAGUGCAUAAUUUGUGUUAUGUUAACCUUUAAUAUCAAUCUUGAUUAGAAAAAAAUACAUAUUUCCUUUGUGUUAGGGUAAAAUUAUCAACUAUGACUAUGAGAAUGAUCAGUUUUCUAUACAUCUAGAUGUUUUAUUAAUCCUUAUCACAUGUAAAUUAAUUCAAUUUUUUUUAAUUAUGACUUUCAUGACAUCUUUUAAAUGUUAAAAUUAAAUACGUUUUAAUUUUGUUUUGCAAUUAUAAUUUUUUUUUCAAAUAUAUUUUAAAAAUUAAUUUUAUUUUUUAAAACUAUUUUUAUAAUUUGACUUAAUAUCUCUAUACAAAGAAAAGAAGCUGUUAAAAAAUGGAUUAGAUUGAAUUUGUAAAGAAUAUACAUGAUAUCUUCAAUGGAUUGAGAUGAAUAAAUGAAAUUUUGAAUCCAAUACAUUAUAAUGCAAAAUAAAUUUUAUGAGGUUAAUCAAUUAAUAUGGUUUAUCAUUCUUAGAUGAGAGAAGGAAAAAAUGAAACAGAUUUUGUGACACUGAGUGUGGGGUGAGAGGUGUUUGUUUCUUUUUCACUCAAUUUUUAUUACAUUGGUAAAUUAAAUAAAAUAUUAAUAUAUUACAUAUAUUUUUAAUCAUAAAUUUAAUUGGAAAUUGAAAUUUAUUUUCAUGUUAAACUUUCAAAUAUUUUAUGUUUAAAUUUUAAAAUUAAAUAAAUAUAAUUUUUAUAAUUUAAUUAUGUUUUUUUACAUAUAAAAUAAUUUAUAAGUUUUAGAUUAAUAUUUAAAUUAUAUAUACUUGUAUAACCAGUAAAAUAUUAAUAUAAAAUAUUAUUUAAUAAAUUAAAAAAAAUAAUACCAUUAAAUUAAAAAUACUGUACUUAUUUUUAUGUUUAAUAAUCAACAUAUACAAAUUAAAGUAGAAAAUAAAAUUAUAAAAUAAAGUCAAUAAUUCAUUUAUGAACUUCAAACCAAUAUUUUACUGUUCGGUUUGAAAUAUAUUUUGCACGUUUUUAUUAUUGCAAAAAUGCUUUUAUAAAAUUACAUUUUUUUUAGGAAAUUUUAAAAUAAAUAAACAUAUUGUAAAUUAUUAACACUAUCUUGUAUUUAUAAUAUAUAUAUAUAUAUAUAUAUAUAUAUAUAUAUAUAUAUAUAUAUAUAUAUAUAUAUAUAUAUAUAUAUAUAUAUAUAUAUAUAUAUAUAUAUAUAUAUAUGGGGCUUUUUAGUUGGUAUAUUUUAAUAGAGUAUACCAAAUUUUAGAUUAAAAAAACCAACUUUAAAUUAAGGAUAUUUUAAUAAUUUUAAAAUUUAAUUUAAAAUAAUAAAAAUAAAAAUUAUUUAUUUUUUAUCUGAUUUGUCUAGUUAUUAAUUUUUAUUUUAUUUUUUUAUUUUAAAAAACAACUACCUUUUAUUUUAUUUUUAUUUUAAAAAAUAAUUACUUUUUAAAAAAUAUAUAAUAAAAAGUAAUAAUUACCCAUCUACAACAAAUAAAUACUUUUUAUUUUUAUUAAUUUUAAAUUAAAUUUUAAAAUUAAUAAAGUACCAUUAAAUUUACGGUUAGUUUUUUUACAAAAACUUUUUUUAAUCUAAGACUUGGUACACUCUGCUAAAGUACCAACUAAAAAACAUUCUUACGUAAAUGAGAAAAUAUAUAUAUAUAUAUAUAUAUAUAUAUAUAUAUAUAUAUAUAUAUAUAUAUUAUAUUUUAAUAAGUAUAUAUAAAUUAUAAAUAAAUUAGUCUCAGGUCAUAAAAUAAUCUUAACAAUUAAAAUCAAAAUCAAUAUUUUUUUAUAAAAGUGUAUUAAUUAAAUUUAAAUAUAUAAUACUAUAUUUAAAUAUAAUUAAUAAUGAUAUUAUGAAUUAAAAUUUACAAUCUAAAAUUUGAAUCAACUAAUUCUAUUUAGUAAAAAGUUCCACUUUUUUCAAAAUAAUGUUUAAAAAAUAUCUUUUCACUUAUAUAUAUUCAAUAUCAACUUGUAUCUUUUUAAAAAGUUGAUUUAGUUUUUUUAUGUGUUAAAAAUAUUUAAAAUAUAUUUUUAUCAUACAUAUAUUGUAUUAAAAAAUUAAUAUUUUUUAGAGUUAUUAAGUAUGUAUUUCUUAAAUUGAUCUUUUUUUAAAAAAAAUUAUAAAACAUAUAUAUAUAUAUAUAUAUAUAUAUAUAUAUUUACAAUUUUAAAAAUUUUUCAAAUAUAAAUUAAAAAAUAUCUUUAAUUAUUUUAUUGGAUGACAUAUCUCUUCGUAAAUAAGUUAUUAACGAAUGAAUUAGGUUGAAUUUGUAAAGCUAAUGAAUUAAAAUUUAUAAAGUUAUUCCUGUUUACUAUUUAUAGGUGUGAGAAGAAAACGAUAAAAUAGGUUAGUAGGAAAAAUGUGGGGUAAUAGAAAAAGAAAAGGAAAAGAAAAUGUUGGGUGAAGUAGUUAGAAAAGGAAAGACUUAUACUAAAUUAGAAAUAGAAAAAGUAAUGGAGGAUGUAUUUAGUAAAUAAUUAUCCUAACUAAAUAAAGUAUUAAACAUGAUCCACUUUCAUUCAUUUUAAUCUAUAUAUUCAAUCAAUAUCCUACUUUGGUAUUAUAGAAACAGAUUUUCAAAGUUUAUGAUUUUUUAAACAUUUAAAUAUGUUUUUACUUCCUAUAUUUUGGGGGCGAUUUUUGGGGACGAUUUUGAUUUUAGUCUCUUUUUCAAAAUUAAGGUACAAUUUAAUCUUUUAACUUUAGAAACCUCUGGUUUUAGUCAUUUUUACCAAAUCUUUUUAACUUUAUUUGCUGUUUCAAGCACGUUUCAUUAUAGCAUUUGGAUUUUUUACACUGUUGGAUACAUUUUUGCUUAAAUGUUAACAGAAAAAUAGGUUUGAAACCACAAAUAAAGUUAAAAAAAUUUGAUAAAAAGGACUAAAAUCAAAGUUUUCUAAAGUUGAAGGACUAAAUUGUACCUUAGUUUGAAAGAGGGACUAAAACCAAAAUCACCCAAAAUAUAAAGACUAAAAACAUAUUUAACCUUUUUUAAAUAGAAAUUGCAAUAACUUUUUACAAUUUUUAAAAUAAAUAAAUACACAAUUAGCUAUUUUUUUUAUUAUUGUCAUAUCCAUAAUUCCAACUUUACAUUAUUUCUAUAAAUCAAUUACAAAUACAAAAUCAUUAAUUUUUAAAAGAAAGUAUUAUGAACUCAAAAUAUAUAUAUAAAAUAUUAUAUUUAAGUACAAUAAAUAAUGUUAUUAUUUUUAAUUGAGUUUUAAUUUUCAAUCUAAAUUUUUAACAAAACUAUUGGAUUUAAAAUGUGUAAGAUACUGUUGAAAAUAACAACUAACUUUCAUCUAAAAACUAAUAAAAAAUAAAACUAGAGGUAAAUGAUUUAAUAUUUUAAUGGUAUUAAUUAAUUUAAUAAGUUUAAUAAAUUAGAAAUAAUAAUAAUAAUUUGAGGGAGAAAUGUAAAAAUAGAUGGAGGCCUUGUGUUUGUAAACUGUCAUUUCACCAUCACUGACAACUCUUACGUGUCUUUAAAAUAUCCACCCUCUUCCUUUCUCUCUCUCCUUCCAGUCUUGUGAAACAAGAAAAUGCUCUUUGGAGGGAGCUGCAUCGGUCUAUGAGCCAAACCAAUCUCAACCGUCCAUCGUUCCAAUCGAACGCUUCUCGUCACUCGCCAAAACUCUUUCUCUUUCCCUUUUUUUUUCUCUUCCUUUCCUCACAGCGGUUUUAAUCAUAAACCCUAGCCGAAACAGUGAACCUCACUCUCUCUGUUCUUCUCUGCCACGCUCUCUAUUAUCUUCUUCUUCUGUUGUUCUCUUUUCAUAUACGCAGAUCUCGGUUUCAAAGAUCCGCCUUUAAAAUUUCUGGAUUUAUUUCAUUUUUUUUCCGUAAUCCUCUUUUCUUGGUUUCUCCUCUUUUUAUGAUUAAUUUAUAAUCGGACAUGAUCCUUGUUCGAUUUUGUAUAGCCAUGGCGUUUUUCUUUUUCCGUAGUACUGGAAACAUCAUGUGAGACUGUCAUCUUCAAGGCAGAAGAAAAAACCAGUUUGGUUCGGUUUUUACCGAGGUUUACCUUACGGAAAUGCCGGCGGCCGGGAUGCGCCGCACGACGAGAGUGUUCGGCAUGAAAGGAGCCGACUCGGCCCGAGUUUUGCGCUCUGGGCGACGGCUGUGGCCGGAUUCGGGUGAGGUGAAGACUAAACGAUCCAACGAUGGUGACGAUUGGGCGGUGACGCCGUCCAAGGUUACGAAACUUGACACUGUCGUGACGCCACGUGGCACUGUGAAGGGGAGGCGCGAAGAACCGGUGGUUAAUGCACCUGACAAGACUAUUGAUAGGAGAUUUGGCAUUGUGUAUGUAAGGAGGCGGAAAGGGUUAAAGAAGGAAGGCUCUAAAAGAAGCGUGGAGGUUUCGCUUUGUGUGCUUUCAGUUGUUGUCAGUCGCACUGCCGGGAAGACUGCUCUGUUUUUGAGACUGUUGGCUUCGGUUGUGAGGUAUGCCAAGAGGGUUCGGAUUUCGCUGAGGAAGCUUUCUGGUUUUUUAAUGUCGGGGACUGUUAAUGAUGUUUUUGCUUUGGAGGGGAUGCAAUUCGUGAAGGUAAAAUCGGUUCUUCUUUAUGUUUGUCUGGAUUAAACCAUCAAUUUGGUCCACAAGACUUUGCUUAAACUAUUGAAAUUAAUUUAUCCUUUAGGGGGAUUACUUUUAUAUUCUCAUUUGUUUAAGGACUAUUUAGAGGAGUGGGUAAUAUUUCAGGGUCUAAACUGUCGGAAACUGAAUUGGUGGGUUUGAUGGGGCAAGUGAAAUUUUUAAUACUAAUAAAAAAGUUGAAUAAAAGCUCAUAGAUGAUUUUGUGGAGUGUUUUGAAGUGGAAAGAAAUGAAUCCUCGUUUUCUUGUUGGUUUCCGGUUCUUAUUUUUCUCACUGGUGUAAAAAUGUUUCUGCAUCUUUUCAUCUUUCAGGGUCCUCCUGCUGUAAACUCUGGAAUAUGCCAGUUCUUUGGGGUCACAAAGUUCGUACCAUUGUUUUCUGUCGACUUUUCUGCUGUUCCUUCUUGUUUUGAGUAUCUGCAUUCUGUGAUGUUCUUUAGAUCUAUGCUUAGGUCAUUCUUUCUUGUAUGUAAUCCAAUAAAUGUGCAUAGUGAUGUUGAGGAUAUUGAAUCAGACGAUGAUUUAUUGGAAUACCAGAAUGAAAAGCAGAUUUCUAGUGAUACCUUCAAAAGGGAACCGUCUGAGACUGGAACUGUUACAUCUGAUGUUAUUGAAAACAAUGAUGUUUUAUCCUUACAUUCUUCUGUCAAGUCCAUCACCAGAGCAGCUGGUCGAAAUGGACAGUAUAGGAACAUGCUGAACUCUAGAGGCAUUCAGAAGAGGAGAAGUUCACUAAGGAAAAGGAAAGCGCGUAAUCCUUCUAUGGGGAGUUUACGGAGAAAUGGAGCAGUUGCUUCUGAGCUAACAGGUGGUGGUAGGAGAAGUAAUAGCCAGUUCUCUGUUGUGACCUCUAGCAAGAAACUUAGAAGUUUGGCGAAUGGUAGCACUACUGGUAGCCUCAAACAAGCAAGUUCAGCUAUAGUCGAUUCAAAAGAAACACUGGGUUUAUCUUCAUGUUCUGCAAACUUACUGGUAUCAGAGAUACACCAAUGCUACAGGGUAGAGGGAGCAAUUGUUACUUUAGAGAUGUCUGCUUCAAAAGAAUGGCUUCUCACUGUAAAGAAAGAUGGAUUAACAAGAAGCACAUUCAAAGCAGAAAAAGUGAUGCGGCCCUGCUCAUCCAAUCGAUUCACUCAUGCAAUCAUGUAUUCUUUGGACAAUGGGUGGAAACUGGAGUUUACCAAUCGUCAAGACUGGAAUGUCUUUAAAGACCUUUAUAAGAAGUGUUCUGAUCGUAAUAUCCCAUCUACUGCUGCCAAAUUUAUACCAGUUCCAGGUGUGCGUGAGGUCUCUUCGUAUGCAGAAAGUAACAGUUUCCCCUUUCACAGACCAGAUACAUACAUAUCUGUCUUUGGCGAUGAGUUAACUAGAGCAAUGGCUAGGACAACUGCAAAUUAUGACAUGGAUUCUGAAGACGAGGAGUGGCUGAAAAAUUUCAACGCCGAGUGUCAAAAUCCUGUGUCAGAUGAUAAUUUUGAGUUAAUUAUUGAUACUUUGGAGAAGGUUUAUUAUUGCAAUCCAGAUGAUCCGUUUGAUGAAAAAUCUGCAACUUGUUGUUGUCAGAACCUUGGUAGCAAGGAAGUGGUAGAAGCUGUAUAUAACUAUUGGAUGAGAAAACGGAAGCAAAAACGAUCUUUGUUGAUUAGGGUUUUCCAGGUAAAAUUUCUAUCAUGAUUUGGAUAUUGCAUUUUGUCUAGGAGGGUAUGUUAAUUGUAGAUUGCCAGUUAUAUGAUGUAUGAUAAAUACUGUCUAUGCACAUUACCUGUUUCCUUAGUACUAAAAAACUGUGCCAUCUAGUCCCACAUUCUCCUGUACUUCUCAGCGCAUUACAUGAACUUAGUUAAUCAGAAAUUGCAGUAGAUUUUAUAACCAGUGGCAUAAGCAGGGAUUUUCCUAAUUGUUUGAGAUAUUUUGUCUUUGUAUAGUGAAUUUUUGAUACCUAUGUUGCCUUGAUAAUCUCUUAUAGCUUUUAAAGCGUUCUUCCUAAUGUUUGUUUGGUACUUUGUUUGGGGCAUGUCUUGGGUAGUGGCAUUGUUUUAAAUUUCGGAAGGUCAACCCCAUUAUAUAGUUGACUUAGUUAAUUUAAUUGUGUCAGGGUCAUCAAUCAAAGAGAGCUCCACUUAUCCCUAAGCCCUUGCUACGAAAACGGAGGUCGUUUAAGAGACAACCCAGUCAGUUGGGUAGAAGCAAUCAACCAAGUGUUUUGAAAGGUAAUUCUUCAACAAAAUGCCAAGACUAUUGAAUUUUCCAGUAGUGGAUUUUCCAUGAACCCUUCUGGUCUCUGUAGCAGACUUUGCUGUUCAUCUUACGCAACAGAAACACUAGUGUUUGAGCUGUUUGUCCAAUGAUUUUGUCUGGGGACUGAUUAUUGAACUCAAAUGCUCAGAACAUUUUCCUUCCUCGUUACAUUGAUUUCAUAAAGAUUCUUCCGUUGGGUCUACUAUUUGAAUGCUAAUAUGGGUCUGUUAUAAGGCUACUGUUAGUUUUGGUUGAGAUGUUUUUUGGUGAGGAUAGAAUGAAGAGUUUUUCAUUCAUCUUUUGUUAAAGUCGUGUUAGACUUUUGUUGAAGUCGUGUUGGAUUUUAUUUGACGGGGUUUUUAAAUCGCAGGUGUCUACUUGUGUAUAAGGAUGAAUGUUGUAAUUGUUUGUCUGAUAUUGUAUUCGUUUUCAGCAUUUGCAGCUGAACAAGAUGCGAUGGAAGAGAAUGCAAUGCUGAAGAUUGAAGAAGCGAAAGCCAAUGCAAACAUGUCUAUGGAAUUAGCCAUACACAAACGCAGAAGGGCUCAAUCUCUUGCUCAGAAUGCAGAUUUGGCCACCUACAAGGCCACAAUGUUAAUUAGAAUAGCCGAAGCAGCUCUUGCCGCAGAAUCAGUAGAUGACGCAGCAGCAUAUUUUCUUGAUUGACGGUUAGAUAAACUCCAAUGCUAAUUAUCAUCACACCACAAAUUUUAUUACAGGAUGGGUCAUAGUAAUCUGCUGCUGUUUUAUUGUAAACACUGUACAGAUUUUUGCUUGUAUGUAUAACUUGGAUUUAAAUGAAGAUCUCAACCAAUCUUUUGUAUGAGUAGGAGGUUGGUUGGUCUCCAUGGAAGGAAGAUAGUACCAAAAGAAUGAAAAUGAAAAAUGAAAUACAGGAUUUCAGAGCCUCAUGACAUGAAGAUGCCCUAUGCCUCUAUUAUUAAUUAUUAUUAUUAUUCUUGUGGAAGCCCAACUUGAGGCCCACACACCAGCUCAAAAGGUAAACCACUAAAAACAAGCCCUGGCUGCCUCAUUCAUAGCUUUGUCUUCCUAGCUGCUAAUGGACAAAUGGUUUUGCUUCCUCCAUUAUAAAAUUCUUUCACAUCUUUCAUUCAUUCUGGAUGAAAAGUGUCCAAGAAUUUUAUUAGGUGAAAUGACCAUGGACAAGUAUCCCUAUCUCCCCUUGCAGAAUUUAGGCUAUGAAAAAUAUGGACGUUGAAGGAAAAUAGUUAUUAUCUCAUUCUAAAUAAUAACAACUUUAUAAAAAAUUAAAUACAUAAUUGGAUAAAUAACAAUAUUAAAGAAGUAUUGUAUUUAAUUAAUAAUUUUAUCAAAAUUUAAUAAAAAUAUCUUACGAAGCAAAACUAUUGUGAGCAUAAGUAUAAGUCAUACAGGCAUUAGCCUAUUUUAGGUUUUCUCAAAAAUAUUAAAAAGAUUUGGUUAAGAUAUUUUUCAAACAGAUUUAUUUAGUUAAGUAAAUGCAAACAAUACUAUGAAAGAAAGGUUACUUACUGACAUGACAUGCAAUGAUAUUAACAUUUUAAACAUUUGGAAAAAAUAUGAACAAACAAUAAAAUAACUUUUAUAACUUUGCAUUAGUUUUAUGUGUGUGUAUAUAUAUAUAUAUAUAUAUAUAUAUAUAUAUAUAUAUAUAUAUAUAUAUAUAUAUAUUUUAAUAUUCUAAUUUUAACAACCGAUAAAAUAAAAUAUUAUAAAAUUAAUAAAUUAAACAUAUUCUCUCAACAUAUAAUUAUAUAGUAUUAAUAUAAUUAUUUUAAAAAAUAAUAAUAAUAAAAUAUAUUUAAAGCAAGUAAAGAAAAACAACUUAAUUUUGAGGAAAGAAACUCUGUUUUCCAUUAAAGAUAUUUCAACACUUACAUUUUAUUUACCAACACCAAUAAAAUGAUCACCAAAAGAAAUAAACAAAUACACAAAGUAACAUUAAAAGAAACAUAAGGUAAACUAAUGUACAAUAAAGUUUUUAUAAAACAACAUAUUGAUAUUAUAUAUAUCCUAUUAUAUUUUUAGUUCAUAUUCUAUUCUACUUUAUCUUAGCUAAAUAAUUAUUAGAGUGACAAGAUAACUUUUAAUGUUUGGACUCUUACAUCAAUUAUUAAUUUAAUGAAACACCACCAUAGAAUCCACUCAUAAGAUCCACAAAAUUAUGUCAAACACCUGCACAAUACUCAUCAUCUUUAAAAAACUUAUCAUCAUCACAAUUUCAUAUAUCAUUAAACCUAUACAUGUUAUCCAUAAAUUUAUCAAUCAUUUUCAGGUAAACAUCAUAAACUAACAAUCAUUUAAACAUUUUCAAAAUCACAUAUUAAGUAUACAAGAAGAGAACAUAUAAUAAAGUUAGACUAUGUUAAUUUCGCUCAACGAGUAGUGCCUAAAAGCACACUAAUCCAAUGACUAGAUAGCUUAACCAACGAGAUUAUCGCUGGAUCUCACAAGCUUAAAUUCUCAUAAAAGUCGUCCAACGAGACUUGUCUAGUUCAACUACUGUCAAUUCAGUGAACUCCUUGACUUUGGUUUUGUCCAAUGAGUAUAUUCUCACCUAGUGAUCACCAAGUCAGUAGCUUUUUUACUUUGACUUCGCUUAGUGGUUAUAUUCUCGUCCAACUACAACCAUGUCAAUAGCUCUCUAACUUUGGCUUCGCCCAUCGAGUUUGCAUAAUUACUCAGUCUAAUAUAUAUCAGAAAUGCUAAAAUAUACCAAAAUUCAAAUUAUGUCACAUUCAUUAACUCAAACAAUUUCAUCUGCAGCACAAAUCAAACAACAUAUUCAAGUUUCAACAUUCAAUCAAUUCAAGUAAAACAAAAUCCUAAUCUUAGCUAUCAUAUUUCAUCACACAACUCAGUCAUGUAGGCAAUUCACAGUAUAAUCAUACGACUGAAAAUUAUAAUAUAUCAAUUAUGCAAAAUUAGUGUAAUUAGCUGAGAGACCGAUGAAGUUGUUUUAAGGAAUCUUAAAUCCCUUCAAGUCCAUAAGAUGUCCAAUCUAUACCUAAGAACAAUAUAAAAACAAUUAGGAUAUACUGAUAUUAUUAUUGAUCAUCAUAGACUCAUAAGAUGACUAAAAUCACACAUGUAAGUGAAAGAAGACUCACGUAUAAUAAAUAAUAAAAUUAAAAAAAUUUACCACAAAGAUUAAUCUUACUCUCUCAAUUUUUCAAUCAAACGAGCAUGAAAAAUAAAGCUCUUAGGUAACUGUAAAAUUUGUUAACAUUUAUCGUUUAUUUAAUUGUAUUCAUGACUCGUAGCGUUUUUCAAUUAUAUCACUGUAUUUUAAUAGGUUAAAAUUUAACUUUUACGCAUGAAAAAUUUAAAUGUGAAUUUAGAAGUUUGACACCAAUAAAAGUUAAAAUUUAACUUUUUAUGUGAAAAUUUUAAAUGCAGAGAGAAAAUUUUAUAUUAAAUAAAAACGAGUACGAUAUAAGAAAAAAUAUCCAAAAACCAAAUGUAUUAUAGGAAAUAAGGUUGGUACUGUCAGAUUUUCUUGACUUAGUUUCAAGAUAUAUGGGGUCCACAAUAUUGGUAUUUUGUAAUUAUCAUUUUCCAUAUGUCUACUCGAAGAAUGCAAAAGCAUUAAAUUAAAGUUUAAUAUUUAUAUUAAUUUUAAUUUUGUAUAUUUACUUAAGUAUUAUGUAUUAUAUUUUGUAUUUAUAGUAAUUUAUAAUUUGAAUGAAAAUAAUGAUAGGAAAACAGUAUAGAUUUAAUAUUAUCAUAAAAAAAAGGAAAUAAAAAAUCUAUAACUAUAUUAUGAAAUAGUGUUUGUGUGAUUACUUUAAGUAUAUCUUUAUUAUUUUUUUAUGAUUACAUAUAUAGCAUAAUAGUAAUUUUAGGUUAAAAUUAUUGAAAGUCUUAAAUAUAAUUAAGAAUAAAAGUGUAUAUAUAUAUAUAUAUAUAUAUAUAUAUAUAUAUAUAUAUAUAUAUAUAUAUAUAUAUAUAUAAAAUGGGUAUCUUAUUAUAUAUAAUCAUUAUUAUUGAGAGAUAGUUGUAUUUUUUUUUAUUUAAAGUAAAAAUAAGGUUAAAUAUGUUUUUGGUCCCAUAAUUUUCAGUGAAAAUUGUAAUCCGUCUCUCUUUAAAACUUUGGCCUAAUUUAGUCUCUCAACUUUAUAAAUGUAUAAAUUUAGUCAUUUUAACUAAACUUUGUUAGGUUUGUUUGAUGUUUCAAGUACGUUUCAUGAUAGUAUUUGAGUUGUUUACACUGGUUAUCACUUUUUUGCUUCAUUGUUAACUGAGAAACGCGUUUGAAAUAUCAAAUAAAGUUAACAAAAUUUUGGUAAAAAGACUAAAUUCAUACAUUUCUAAAAUUGGAGGACUAAAUUAGACCAAUGUUUUGAAGAGGGACCGAUUCCAAUUUUCACUAAAAGUUAAGAGAUAAAAACAUAUUUAACCCUAAAAGUAAUGAUCAUAUAAAAGAUAAUAAAUAAUGUAUAAUAUAUCGUGACAUUAAAAUAAGAGAAGAACUUUGUUGAGUUCUUGGAAAGUUUUUUUUUUUUUUAUUGUUUUUUAAAUAUAAUUAAAAAUAGAAUAAAAUUGUGAAACAUGAAUAUUGUUAUUAGUAUAAUCUAGGCAUGAUUUAUUUUUUGGUCUGACAAUUUACAACAUGCUGCUAACAAACACUUACGCUGUGUCGAACAACAAAUGAACCACAUUUUCUGAUAAGUUUAGUUAAAAUAGAUUUUAAAUUAUAAAAAUAUGAUAGUAAAAUUUAACUCUAAUCUAAUCUUACAAAAUCAAUUUAAUAAAUGAGAUUUUUGUAGAGUAAGUAUUAUAAAUUAGUUUUAUAUCUGGUAUAGAUUAAUCUUCAACCGUUUAAAAAAAAAUUACAAACUGAGGUUGACAAAACAAAAACAAAGUAACAUUAAUCCUAACAAGUUUAAGACUGAAAAGGAAUUAUUAAAGAUACUUAUACACCAAAACUCUUAUCACAUUCCUUCUCUCAUUGCAGCCAAUAAUAUAAAAGGGAAGGAUGUGUAGUUAGAAAAAAAAAGUUUUUUUAUUAAGUUUUAACUUUUAAAAAUCAACCUAAUUAAAAAUAACGUAAUAUUUAUUCGAAUUAAUUCUACACUUCAAAAAAGUCAACAAGGCAAUUGAUAACAAAUUUAUCUAAACUAAUUUAAGGUUAUGUUUUGAAUCAUGCAUACUAAGCUCGUUACUAAACUAGUUUAGAUUGCGUUAGAUUUAUUCAAUUAUAAAUUAAAUUUAAUUAAAUUAAUUUGAAUUCAUCUUCGAUUCAAUAAAUAUCUGUAAAAGUAUUAAUUUACAUAUCUAUAGAUUUAGAGGUUGUGUUAAAUAAUGGGAGGUGUGAUUAUCACACAAGUAGGUGCUAACAAUAACUCCCACGAAUCUUAUGCUAAACACUAUAAUGAUGCAUUUGGAUCAGACGGUUACAUUUGCUGCUAUUUCGAUUCGCCGUACAUUAUGGACCAAAUAAGAAAAACAAAACAAAGAAUGAACAAUAAUUAUAUUUUUUCCUAAGCUCAAAUUAGUAACGCCAAUUUUUUAUGGAUUAUAUAAAUAUAUUUUAUGAUUCAACUUUUACUAUUUCAUGAGUUUUACUAAGUUUUGUUUUUUUUACGUAUCAUAACGUAAUUUUUUUAUUUAUUUUUUUAGUAUUUGGAAUUAGAGAUGGUAUUACUUAUAUAUUUCUUACAUAUAUUCCUAACCUUACAAACCAUCUUAAUUUAAAAAACAACAAAAGUAAUAGUAAUUGAAACCUGGAAUCAAUUAUGAUUUUUCAUCCUCUAAAUCAUUCAACUAACUACAUUACUAAUCACUUACAAGAAGACUUAAUAAACUAAACAACUAAGUCUAAAGAGAAAAAGUGCAAAUCCUAAAAAUUCUCUUCAAUAUUCUCACAACCAUAUAACAAUAAACAAUUGACUUAUUAUUCAAUAAGUCAUAUGUCUUAUAGUGGGAUUAGGAACCGGACUCCUUGUCUGGUGAUACCAUAAGUUAACUUAUCAUGUCAAGAGAAAUUUGAUUGGUUUGUUAGGUUAAGUAGAGCCAAAGUUGUUGCUUCAAUUCACUAAGAGGUUUUGUGAUAAGUGCAAAACUUUUUGUGUCCAAGUCAAUAUAUAAAUUCGAAUGUUGAGUCUAGACGAAUCUUCAAUUGUGAGGUUUAUGUCUUUACAACUCUUUGGAAUUACUUUGUAUGUUAAUAUAAUAUGUUUAUUUGAUAUAUGAUGCAUCUUUUAGUGAAUUAACUUGCUCUCUCUUGUGUUGUAGUUUUUUUGUGUGUUUGUUUUUCUUUUUUUGUAAUGAUUACUUUGUUGAUGUGAAUCGAUGAAGAUACAAGUUUAGAAUUUCGCUAUGAAAGAUAUGAGUCAAUUGUGUGGGAUGUUAAAAAUGGUUAGACUCUCUAGAUUAAUAGUUUUGUUUUAGAUCCAAAGUACAAUGUUUUGAGUUUUAAGUUUUAUAAAUAUUAUAUUGUUAUAAUCUUAUCUUGUAAAUGACUGUAAUAAUAUAUUUUAUAUUGUAAAUUAUCUAUUUUCUAAAUAUUAACUAUGAAAUAUUUUAUUUUUAUAGUUUCUUAUUAUUAAAAUGAAAUGUUAUAAUUGUUUUAUAUUACGAAAUACCUAUACUUAUAAAAUAGAAUAGUAAAUUUACAUUAUAUUUUUAAUGUAAUUUAUUCAUGAAAAUUUGAAAUAACUACGAUCUAUAAAACAUUUUAAAAUUAGCAAACUCAGCCACCAAAGAAAUUAUUAAGAGUAUAAUAUGGAAAUUUAAUUGUUUAAGAUAGAGUUGACUUGCAAUUGCUUAAUAGAAAGGUAAGUUGAUUUGAUCACGAGUGGAAUAAAAAGUGUAGCCAUGAUUGAUGAUUCUAGUAUUUGACAAGGUUCAUGAGUUAAGUCUUUGUCAACAUUAUAUGAACAAUAGAUUCAUUCAUAUUUUCAUGUGAACUUCGAUCAUCUGUUUCUUUCAUGGUCAAAAUAUAAUUCAAAUAAUUAAGAUCAACAUUAAACAUGGAUGCAUGGAUAAGUGAAGAUCUUGCCUUGCACUCAAUGCAAAUAAACAAAUCUCUAUUUUAUUUUUCAUGUUAUUAUCGUAAGAAUUAUACUCAUACAAAGAGGAGUUCAGGUUAAAACUAAUAUAUAUAUAUAUAUAUAUAUAUAUAUAUAUAUAUAUAUAUAUAUUUAUUUGACUUUUCAAAUUUUAAAAUAAAAUGUCAUAAAAUUUCAAAUUUUAAAUUGCACAUCGAUUAUCUUCUGGUUCAACUAAUUAAAAUUUAUUUUCUUUGUGUUGUGUUUUAAUGCAGUUUUGUUUCUUUCUUGGGGUAACGUAGUAACACAUUCUCCCUUUGCUAGCUGCCUCCCAGAAAAAAGCGGCGUCUAUUGAAUUUCUUUUGAUAAUUUCAACCCAAAAACGACCCUGAGUCGUUGCCUAGUUAUCGUUUUAUCGUGAUUUUUUGUUCUUGCGGAUGAAAAUGGAACUAAGCAAGAACUCAGGUUCGGUUUUGGGUUGAAAAGAUCCAUAAGAAAUUCAAGAGACGCAAGCUUUUUUUUUUGGGAAACUAGCAAAAGGAGAUUGUGCUACUAGGCUAUCCAAAGACGUGAACAAAACUGCACUAAAACACAACCACUGUAUUAGACGUCGGUUAAUGUAGACACCGACGUCUAUAGUACCUCUUAGACGUCAGUCAGUGUCAUUUUCGAAGUCUUUAGUGCCUCUUCGACAUCGGUUAUUGCUAAGACCUAUGUCUAUAUGAUGUCUUUAAAUGUCCAUUUUCCCCCUACAUUGACGUUCAUUGAUGUCGGAUCUGUCAGUGACUGACAUCGAAAUUGACGUCGGAUCUGUCAGUGACUGACAUCGAAAUUGACGUCAGUUAUACUAGUUUUCCGACGUCGCAUGGACGUCACCGGCAAUGACGUCGGUUCAGUUGUAGACGUUAAAAGCCCAAAAAAACCGACGUUAAUCAGCGUUUUUGCACUAGUGAAAAGAAACAGACUUGAGCUGUUAACCUCACGGAUAAUAGCAAUUGUUUCUGCUGCAUUUUUAACUAUUCUCUCUUCAUAGUUGAUAGAGUCAUCAUUGGCUGUUUUAACUUUAAAUUCAUCGAGGAAUUGUUCAUCCUGUGAGAUUAAUUUGGUGCUGGAGGAGGAGUCACCCAAAUCAACUCUUAAAAUCUUUGCUUCAUUAGGUGGUUCAACUACAAAGCGAAUAACUAACAAUCUGAUGCCAGGAUGCUCACCCAUACGACCUCCGUAAGCAAGGGCUUCACGAUCAUCACCACCACCAAAGAAAAGCAUUAUAACACGAUAAGAAACAUUACUUACAGAGACAUGGGAGGUACCACCGAGCCCAUGAUCGACAAAAGUUCCAACUGAGCAUGGCGCAUGCUCAAGUGCUCUUUUUUUAACCCAUCAAAAAUCAUUUCUACUGGUAUUUUGUGAACUAUUAACGUUUCUGUUUUAUAAUUAAUGCUCCUUGGAGCAACCAUUUAUGUUUUAUGGUUUUUUUGUUUAAGUGGAUUCUAUUUUCUGUUAGGGAUAAUUAAUUAUCCCCCUGGUUUGUUGCUUUCAUUGGAACCUAUUUAACCAGGAUUCCAGUAGUUUUCCUUUUAGUAAGAGAGAAAGAAAGAAGUGUAUUUCCAACAACACAAUAUGACGAGAAAUAAGAAAGUUUAUAGCUUUUACUCUCAUUCGUUAGUGUGCCUCCUUUUCUAUCUUCCGCUGCCACUCUUUUGCCCUUUUGUCGUUGCUGUUUGCUUCACCAGAGCAACCCUCUGAAGAUCGCAUGCUCUCCCUCUCUUUCUCGCGUCUCACACAAAGUCAAAACAUAUUGAAGAAAUCUGACACGGGGAAGCUUCUAGGAGAAACUUUGUUUCUCGCUUCUAGGCCAGAGGGUGUUUAGGCCUUGGUUAAACUGUUGUGGGUCUACGUCUACAAUCUUAAUAUGAACUAUCCAAACUUUGAUGUUUAUGAAAUGGAAGAAUGAUGACUGCGGCUUCCUUCCUCUCAUCAGUUGCACAAAUGUCUUCAUGUAUGUUAGCCUUGAACAAAGUUUCAGACUUUUGCUCCCAAUUCUCGAAAAACAAAACCUAGCUUGAGAUUAGAGGCAAAUUGAUCACGACAGAUCGGGAUUCAGAUAAUAGAGUGCAUUUUAGCCCUCAACGGUGAUGCCUUCGAUGACGACCAGGUUUACCAGCGACGAUGUGACGAUGAGCGUUGGCAGUGGCGAUUUGGUGGCGAGCCUUGGUCGUGGAGGUGGGCACAGUCCAGGAUUCACAUCGCGUGAAGGGAGAAACGUUGUGGGUGGCAGCGGCGCUUCCAGCACGAGUGACGUUGUAGGCAGCGUUUUCGGCCGACCACGAAGGUGCGCGACAACACUGGUCAAAAGAAGAACCCUUUUUCCUUUUAAAGAGGAGAAACCCUCUGCUGCGACUAGCUAGGAAGAAGAAUGGAACAACUUUUUUUUCUCGUUUUUGGAAAAAAGCCCAAGAGCUUUUCCCUACACCAACACAGAUUUCUUAGACAAGACCAAAGGAAUCAGGAGCAAUCUUCGAGAAGAUGAAGAGAUCAAAUGAAAUCCCUAAUUUCCUAAAGUAAACAAUUAAAUUUGUGUCAUGUCAAAUACUGUUUAUUUAAACAAUAAAGUCCACGUAAUUAAAUAAUACACAUCAACACACUAUCUGCACAAGGAACAACUUAACAGAUAGGGUAAAAUCGGCUCAAUUUUACAAAAAAUAUGACGCAAUUAAGACAGAUGAAAAAAGGCUUAAUAUCACUUUUGGUCCCUAGUUUGGGAGGUUUUGUUCAAUAUGGUCCUACCUUUUUUUUAGUAACAAUUGAUCCCACUUUUUGAAAAAACUGUUCAAUUGACUCCUUUUUGGUUACGACGUCAAUUUUCUAACGGUGUUGGUUACGAAGUCAAUAAGUUCUUUCAUGCAUUCACCUAUCCAAAUGUUAUUUUAACAGUCCUGACAUAAGGUUAUGUUAAAAAUCAUGUCAUCAUCGUAUAUAAUAAGGACUAUAAUAAACAAUUUAAACUUGAAUAUGGGACCACUAUGAACAAAAAGGACUCAAUUGAACAAUUUUUUCAAAAGGUUGGAUCAAUUGUUAUGAAAAAAAAAGGUAGGACCAUAUUGAACAAACCCUCCCAAACUAGGGACCAAAAGCAGUAUUGAACUGAGAUUGCCAUACAAAAAUUAGGAUCAAGGAAGGGUUUAAACCAAUUUUAAAUUAAAACCUAUUUUAAUUUUAUAUUAAAAUUCAGAAAUUAAAAACAUUUAAUCCUAAUAAAAAUAACAAUGAUAAUAUAAAAACAAAAUUUCAUCAUAUACAAGUAGGGUAUCGAUAAAUCUGCGAGAGAAAAUAUAUUUACUAUUUAUUAGUAAAACUAUAUAUACUUAUUAGUAAAUCUAUAAUCGAAUCCAAGGAAUUCAUCAUCCCAACCUGUUUUCUUUAUUAUGUUUUUUGAAUCACAAGUUUUUUAAGCUAUUUUAUGCUAACAAUAAAACUUUGUUAAUUUUAAAAUAUAUAUAACACAAUUUAAGUUUUAUAUAUUCUUUUUUAUUAUAUAGUUUAAUUAUUAAUAUUAUUUAAUGGUUUUAAUUUAAUCGAGUUGAACAAAAUAUAAAGAACUUGUAACUCAAUUAAUAUAAAAAAAGAUUAACAUGUUAACUAAAUUGAAUUUGGUUUGAUAGAAUUAAAAUAUGGUAUUCAAUCAUAAUAAAUUACGGAUGAAAUGACCCAUCAAUGGUUCCCUAGUGUUAGGGCAGCGUGGUGUGGUGUUUGUAGGAAUGACAAAUAUCUGCGGACACGGGUAUUUACGGGUAAAAUCCGCAGCGGGUAGUUAUUAUCCGCGGAUAUUUACUAUUUACAGGUAACGGGUAGUAGGUAUUUUAAUAUCCGCUUUAAAGGGUCGGGUACGGGUAGUAUACUAUCUGACCUGCGGAUACCCGUUAUCCGCAAAAAAUAAUAAUAAAAAUAAUAAUUUAUUAUAUAUUUUUAAUUAAAUUUAAUUAAAAAUAAAAUAAAAUUAUAUUUUAUUAGGUUAAAUUUAAUUAAAAUUAAAUUUUAAUUUAUAUUUAUAUUAUAUUAUAUAUAUAUAUAUAUAUAUAUAUAUAUAUAUUUUUUUUGUAAUUUUAUUUAAAUUUUAUUUUAAAAUGUAUAAAAUAUAUUUUUUUUAUUUUUUAUGGGUAUCCGGGGUACCCGCGAGUUUUAAAAUACUCGUGAGUAUUUUUUAAACGGAUACCCGACGGGUAGCGGGUAGGAUUUUAUCUGAUGGGUCGAGUUGCAGGUAGACAUUAUUCGUGCCUGACCCAACCCGUUGUCAUCCCUAGGUGUUUGAGAGAAUGUAACAAAGAGAGAUAAGCAGAGGGUAGGUAACACGAGGAUGAGAGAAAAACAAGUGUUAUUCUCAUUAACCAAAAAUGGGUAUAUAUGCACACUGGGUACAAGAGUAACUGUGACAGUUCAAGCCGUUUAGGGAGUUUAGUUUUAUUUCCAACACACCUCUCUAAAACUAAGCCUCCUAAAAAUUUAAUUCCAAACUUUACAAGAUUGAUUAUAACAAAUUGUCUCCUUCUUCUUCUUAUAUUUCAACUGACAGUUCUCACCAUCGGAGUUGUUUCCACUUUCUUGUUUCCUUCGUCCCUUCUUUUGAUGCUUAGAUCUCCACUUCUUCCAUCUAUCAUUCCUAAUAUCAGUUGCAGCUAGACACUUAAUAGUUGUGGCUUGUAGAUUCACCUUAAAAGUUCGGUUUUUGGGCAAGAGGGGCUUUGAGCACUAGCCACUACCUUUCAUCAAACACUUUGUUGUGUCUUCGCUGCAUCGUCAUAGUGUAUCCUUUCUCAAGUAGCUGUCCCAAGCUAAGCAAGUUAUACUUCACUGACGGGAACUACAACACAUCAUCCAUAUAUGCAACUCCACCAUUUCUGCACCUGGUUAGGAUUCUGCCGAUUCCUUCCGUCGUUACCGUGUUAUCAUUCGUGAAUCUUAUACUGCUUCUCACUCUCUAAUCAAGAUUCACCAACCAUUCUCUCCUCCUAGUCACGUGGUUUGAACACCCUGUGUCCAAGUACCAAGAUGACUCAUCUUCUGCAUGGCUCAUCUCACUGGGAAGCAUCACAUGGUCUGCUAAUUCUUCACAUUUGUCCAACGCAUGAUUCCCUCUUUCGCCUAACAGUAGUGCUCAUUCGGUUUAACAUCCGUUCGGUCAAAACACAACAACUGUUUGGUUACUUCUUAAACGCUCACUUGGGUUAAGAGCAAUACUUCUCCAUCAGAAUGUGCUUGGUUUGAGAGCAACAUUUCUUAUUUUGAAGGUAAUACUUCUUCUUCAUCAUCUGUUCAGUUUGAUGAUAACACUCCUUCUUCAACAACCUUUUGGUCUGAAGGCGAUACUUCUUCUUCAUCAGAAGCCGUUUGGUUUGAAUACAAGAACCAUUCGAUUUCUUCACCAUAUUCUGCAUUUGAAGACUGUUCAGUCUCUUCAUCAGUUACAUUAGAGGAAGAAGACAUCCACUCAGUUUCUUCACCAGCUGCAUUUUAGAACGUUAAUUGUUUGGUUUCUUUAUCCUUUGCUGCAUGGCCUAUCUUCUCCAAGUACAACACAUGUUCAAAUACACGUUCUUUCUCAGAAUGUCUACAAAUUUCCUCACCUUCAUCAUGUCUUGCUACGCUCAUCAACAAGACAAUAUAUGAGUUUGUGCCACACGUGUCCUGUGCAAGAUUUGCUUUGUCAUUUUUCAUCUUCUUCAUUUUCUCAUUAUGCCAACACUCAGAUGAGUAAUGCUCGUAUUUGCUGCACGUGUAACACUGGACAUUUCUUUUAUCAUAAUUCUUUCUACUUCUUCCUCUCGACUUUCUUCCUCCUAUGCUGCUUUCCUCAUUCUGCUCACUUGCAUCGUCUUCACCAAUUUGUUCAAAGGUUUUCGUACCUCUACCAUCCGUUCGGCCACCGCGUGUUCAUCCUCUUCCUUUUCUAGCUCCUCGGCCUAUAAGGCUUUGUUUACUUCUGGCCUGUAGCGCAUGAAUCGAGUCUUGCAUGACACCAUUUUCUGCAUUUUUCCUUUCAAUUAAUCAUUUCUCAUACGCUUCAAGGGAGUUCUGCAGUUCUUCCACCUUCAUCGUCUCAAGAUCUUUGCUUUCUUCUAUAGCUACCGUAAUGUGGUCAUACUAGGGUGUCAAAGUCUUGAGAAUUUUUGCCACAAUCUUCUUGUCUUUCACAAUCUUGUCGCACGAUCUCAUGGCAUUCACCAAGACUUGCAUCCUCCCGAUGUACUCCACUAUCGUUUCUUGCUCCCCCAUGCAUAGAAGUUCACAUUGCCUCUAUAGGGAUUGCAGACGAACCUUCUUCACCUUGCUGGAAUUACCAUAACCAUCUUGUAGAAUGUCCUAGACUUCUUUGAUACCUUCUGAAAGAUUGAUGCAGAGAUGCAUUAAUGCAGUAACAUUCUCGCUUUGUAGUCAAGUCCCCUGUUCUCCUUGUACUGCUUCUUCAUUUCUUCUAAGGCACCUUUCCAAGGUUCUUGAAAACCUUUCUUUACUAUUUCAUCAACUUCUUGAAACCCCAGAAUGGCAUCCAUCUUCACACACCAGACAUCAUAAUCUUUGCUAUCAAACACCGAGAAGUUGCUUUAGAUUAAUCUUGCCAUGACUUCUUCUCGGAAACUCUUCUUGGGUGAAUGAGUUCUUUGUUAUCCAACACUCUACCAAGUUAUCUAACCAGUAGCUCCUGAUACCACGGUUAACGCAGCGUGGUGUUUGAGAGAAUGUAAUAGAGAGAGUUAAGGAGUAAGUGAUACGAUUAUGAAAGAAAAAUGAGUGUUAUUCUCAUUAACCAAAAAUGAGUAUAUAUGCACACUAGGUAUAAGAGUAACUGUGACAGUUCAAGCCAUUUAGGGAGUUUAGUUUUAUUUCCAAAACCUAGUUUGUGCAAGUCUUGAUUAAGAAAUUUAUUAUCAUUUAUUAUUGAAAAUUAACUGUUUACAUAAAUCGUUUGCGAACCAGAGAAAAUCAUUAUCAUGAUAUUUAGCACCAAGUUGUCACGUGUUUCAUUUUAAUUAAUUUUUAUUGAAUAACAACUUGGGCUCGGGAUGCCCCACAUUCUAUUAGAAAAAAAUUGUUACAACACAUUUGAAUCCGUCUGUCCACCUAAGUCAACGUCACCUUGUCUGAUCGACAUAUAUUUUGCAUUAAUUUUUUAUUAUUAUAGUAUUGUCGAUAUUUAAAUAUAAUUAAAUAAUUUUAUUUAUUAUUUUAUUAAUGUUAUAAUUUAACAUUUUGUUAACACCUUAUAUUAAUGUAAUGACAUAACUAAUUAGAACAUUAUAGAUUUCAUAUUAUACAUAAAUAGAGAUAUAAAUAGAUAAAUUAUAUUUAUAUUAUAUUUAUAGAGGCAUGUGUGGCAUAAAUCUAUAUAAUUCUGUUCUACAUAAUUAUACAAACUCGAUAAGCGAGUAUAUAUUUAUUGGACAACCAUAUACAUGUUAGACAAAGGUAAAGUCAGCGAGUUACUGACUUAGUUGUUGUUGGACGAGAGUAUGGAUGAAACCAAAGGUAGGGGAUUUACUAACAAUAGUCGCUAAGUGAGAAUAAUCUCAUUAAGUGAGACCAAAGUCAGAGAAUUCACCGAUUUAACAAUGGCUCAUUUAGACAAGUUUUGUUGGGUGACUUUUGUGAUAUAUAUUAAGCCUGUUAGAUCCAUUAACGAUCUCAUUCAUUGAGCUAUCUGGUCGUUGAGCGAGAGCACUUUUAAGCAUUGCUCGCUGAAUGAAUAAAUAUUUUCGUUGGAUGACAUUAACAGAGUUUAACACCACUUUUCACAUCUGCUUUUCUGAUUUAUUUUGUUUUCUUUUUAUGAGUGUUAAUGUGAUGGUUAAUUUGUAAUGAUCAUCUAAGAAUUGUUGGAAUUGAUCCUAGGAGGAAUUAAUUGUGGUUUGUUUGGUGUAUGCUUUGACAUAUAGGAAUUUAGAAAGGAGGUAUCCUUGAUAUAUUACCAGUCAUUAAGCUCAUAUAAAGAUGAAUGAAGUGAGAUAGAAAAUGACAUGAGAUCUCUACUAUGAAAUUUUGGUCUUAGACAUGAAAGAUUAACCUCGUGAGUAGUAAGGUGAUAACCCUUGUGUUUAUGACUCUGUAAAACGAGUGCACACUUAUAAUGAAGUUCUAUGUCAAAACAUGUAUCUAGAUAAUUAGGUUAACUACAUGUAUGUUCAUAUGAGUUAUAGUAAUUUAUAAAUGUUAAACUAAUAUGUGAUAUGCUUAAAUUAUUUUAUGAAGUUUUCUUCUUAACACCAGCUUACCUGCCUUCUUGUCUUUUCUAUGUUGUUUCUCUUUUAUAAUGAUAACUUUUCGAUAUGAAUAGAGAAUGAAGUAGGUGUUGACAUGUCUUUGAUAGAAGGCAAAAACUUAAAGACUUAGAUAUUUUGUUAUGACUCGAAGUUGUUAUGUAUAGAAACUCUUUAAUUUUAAACAAUUUUAUUAAUUUAAGUUGUUAUGUUUAUAUUCUAUUUUGAUAUAGUUAUUGUACUGGAUAAUUGUAUUAAUAUUUUGUAUGUUUUUUUUUAUUUAUUUGUUAUAUAUUAUCAGAAUUUAUAAUGUUUUAUUUAAUAAUUUUAUUUAAUAGUUUUAUACUAUUAAAUGAGAUAUUGCAUUACAAAUAAUAAAAAAAUAUUGAAACUGAAACUGAAACUAGCUAAUAGAAAAAUUGAAUAUAAAAAUAAAAUAGUUACUCAUAAAACCAACUUAAUCACAAUUUAUGAUCAACUUAAUCGCAAUUUAUGGUUUGGUUAUGUUUUCAAUCCUUGAUAUUUGAAGUAAAUUUUCUUUUGAUAUCUUAAUUUUAUUUAAGAAAAUUGCAAUUUCUGUAAAUUGAACAAAAUGAAUUUUUAAUUAAACAUUAAAUUUAAUGUACUGAGAAAAAAAAUAUACCCUAAAUCUUAAACUUCAUCAUAAAGUCUAAUAUUUCAAAAAUCUACUAACUAAAAUAUACUUUCUAAAUUUUGAUAACGUUAAACUAUUUUCUUUUAAAUUUUGAUAACCAAAAUCAAAAUUCUUUCAAAUUUCAAAAAAUAAAAACAUAAUUAAAAUUAAUUUAAAAGAUUGAAAAGAUAGAAAUUAUGUUUUAAAAUAACAUAUAAACUGUUUAAAUAAUUCAAAACAAUAUUGUGCCGUAUAUCUAAACUAUCAUACAAUUUAACUCAGGUUGAUGAAUAUUUUUUGAUUUUGAUUUUAUCGUUUAUUUUUCCACACUAAGCAUUGCAAUUGAAUAUUGCAAGGUUUUAUCCAACAAAUAUAAUUUGUAUGUACAUAAAAAUUAUGUUAAAAUAAAUAAUUUUUUAGUAAUAUUUUAAGAUUGAAUGAAAUGAGAAUUGUUAAAUAUUCAUCCUUACUUGUGGGUCAAGUCACGCCACCUUACCUUACGCCAUAAAACAUUGAGUUAUUAGGAAAUAUAUAAUAAUGUAUUCUAUCGUUGAAAAAAUAAACACGAGAAAAGUAACACGUUUAAUUUUAAAUGUGAAAUUAUGGAGAAAAGUAACACGCUUAAAGGUUUUAGUUAGUAUUUUUAUAAAGAUGAUAGCAUUAAUUAUAUAUAUUAUUAUUUUUAAAAAAUCAUAAUUAAAUUUAAAGAUAAUUAAUAUUAAAAGAUCAUUAAAUGGUAAUUAAAUUUAAAGAUAAAUUAAUGAUUAUAUUGAUUAGGUUAAAGACCAUUAUAUAAAUUAAAAAUUAUUACUAUUUAAAAUAGAUUUUAUACUAAUAAAAAUUUAUAUAUGAAAUUAUGGAGAAAAGACACCGUCGUUACAAGCAACACUAAGGGUAUUUUUUCUUAGAGGAAUGAAUUUGAAAGAGAGAAAAUUUAUGAAUUUGAAGAUAUUUAAGAAUAAAUUAAGUUUUGCUUUUUUUUUAAGAAAUUUAGAUAUGAGUGAUAAUAGAUUUGAAAAGAAAGUUUGUGAAAAUUAAUAUAUAAUUUAACAGAUGUGACAAAUAAAAAAAUGUUUAAAUUGAUAAUUUUUUUUAUCAAAAUACUCUAAAUAAUAAAAAUAAUAUAAAUAAUAAUUAUUAAUAAUAUAUUUAAUGAUAAAAAAUAUUAUAAAGAGGAAAAAAAUUAAAAUUAUACUUUUUAAAUAAAACAAUUAAAAUAAUAUAUUUUUUAGGAUUAUUAUUAUUAUAGUUAUUAUUAUUAUUAUUAUUUAUUAUUAUUAUUAUCAUUAUUAUUUACCACAUGCUUUGUUAUUAAUUAUUCAUAUCUUUAACUUUUCUCAUAUUCACAAAGGAGUAUAAUAUUAUUACUAAUAGUAAGGGUUAUUUUGUAAUUUUGUUUUUUAUUUCCCAAAUUCUCUCAUCUUAAUUGGAAUUGUUUUUAAUUUUCAUCUCUUGAAUCCCAACUCACAAAUCUACACAAAUAAGAUGAAGUGAGCAUUAUGUGUCAAUCCUUUUCCUUUUUUAUUUUCCUUUUUCCCUAAUCAUGCUACAUAACAUAAAGAUUUUCAAUAGUAUUUUUACAAAGAUGAUAACAUCAAUUAUAUAUAUUAUUAUUAUUAUUAAAAGAUCAUUAAAUAAUAAUUAAAUUUAAAGAUAAAUUAUUGAUUAUAUUGAUUAGGUUAAAGACCAUUAUAUAAAUUAAAAAUUACUACUAUCUAAAAUAGUAUUUUUGUUAUUAUUAUUAUUAUUAUUAUUAUUAUUAUUAUUAUUAUUAUAAUUAUUAUUAACUACAUGCUUCAUUAUAAAUCAUUCGCAUCGUUAACUUUUCUCAUAUUCAUAUAGACUAGGUAUAAUAUUAUUAAUAGUAAGAGUUAUUUUGUAAUUUUUGUUUUUCAUUCCUCAAAUUCUCUCACCUUAAUGGGAAUUCUUUUUAAUUUUCAUCACUCGAAUGCCAACCCACAAAUCUACACAAAUCAGAUGAAGUGAACAUUAUGUAUCAAUCCGUUUCCUUUUUUAUUUUCCUUUUUUUCCUAAUCAUGCAUUACUUCAAAUGGAACAUAACAUAAAGAUUUUAAUUAGUAUUUUUACAAAGAUGAUAACAUUAAUUAUAUAUAUUAUUAUUAUUAAAAGAUCAUUAUAUAAUAAUUAAAUUUAAAGAUAAAUUAUUGAUUAUAUUGAUUAGGUUAAAGACCAUUAUAUAAAUUAAAAAUUAAUACUAUCUAAAAUAGUAUUUUUGUUAUUAUUAUUAUUAUUAUUAUUAUUAUUAUUAUUUAUUAUUAUUAUUAUUAUUAUUAUUAUUAUUAUUAUUAUUAUUAUUAACUACAUCCUUCAUUAUUAAUCAUUCGCAUCUUUAACUUUUCUCAUAUUCACAUGGAUGGAGUAUAAUAUUAUUAAGGUUAAAACCAUUUAGACGUCUCUAUUUUCGUAAGGUAUUCCCAAUUUGGUCCCCUUCUUUUAAACCUUCCCAAUUGAGUCCUUAUAAGUGCUAAUUUCAAACAAAUUAGCCCCUGUCCUUAAAAUUCAUUAACGGUGUUAAAAUUGUGCAGAGGUGGGUAGAUGACGUGGUUAGAAUUCUCCUUUUGAAGUGUUAAAAUUGUGCAGAGGUGUUAAAAUUGUGCAGAGGAGAAUGGGAAAAAUUUCAACACCUCUACACAAUUUUAACACUUCUGCACAAUUUUAACACCUCAAAAGGAGAAUUUUAACCACAUCAUCUACCCACCUCUGCACAAUUUUAACACCGUUAAUGAAUUUUAACGGUAGGGGCUAAUUUGUUUGAAAUUAGCACUUAUAAGAACUCAAUUGGGAAUGUUUAAAAGAAGAGGACCAAAUUGGAAAUACCUUACGAAAAUAGGGACGCCUAAAUGGUUUUAACCUAUUAUUAAUAGUAAGAGUUAUUUUGUAAUUUUGUUUUUCAUUCCUGAAAUUCUCUCAUCUUAAUCAUAAUUCUUUUUAAUUUUCAUCUCUCGAAUCCCAACCCACAAAUCUACACAAAUCAGAUGAAGUGAACAUUAUGUAUCAAUCCUUUUCCUUUUUUAUUUUCCUUUUUCCCUAAUCAUGCAUUACUUCAAAGGGAACAUAAUAUAAAGAUUUUAAUUAGUAUUUUUACAAAGAUGAUAGCAUUAUAUAUAUAUAUAUAUAUAUAUAUAUAUAUAUAUAUAUAUAUUAUUAAAAGAUCAUUAAAUAAUAAUUAAAUUUAAAGAUAAAUUAUUGAUUAUAUUGAUUAGGUUAAAGACCACUAUAUAAAUUAAAAAUUACAAAUAUCUAAAAUAGUAUUUUUGUUAUUAUUAUUAUUACUAUUAUUAUUAUUAUUAUUAUUAUUAUUAUUAUUAUUAUUAUUAUUAUUAUUAUUAUUAUUAACUACAUGCUUUAUUAUUAAUCAUUCACAUAUUUAACUUUUCUCAUAUUCACAUGGACGGAGUAUAAUAUUAUUAAUAAUAAGAGUUAUUUUGUAAUUUUNUUUUUCAUUCCUCAAAUUCUCUCAUCUUAAUCGGAAUUGUUUUUAGUUUUCAUCUCUCGAAUCCCAACCCACAAAUCUACACAAAUCAGAUAAAGUGAAUAUUAUGUAUCAAUCCUUUUCUUUUUUUAUUUUCCUUUUUCCUUAAUCAUGCAUUACUUCAAAGGAAACAUAACAUAAAGAUUUUAAUUAGUAUUUUUACAAAGAUGAUAGCAUUAAUUAUAUAUAUUAUUAUUAUUAAAAGAUCAUUAAAUAAUAAUUAAAUUUAAAGAUAAAUUAUUGAUUAUAUUGAUUAGGUUAAACACGAUUGUAUAAAUUAAAAAUUACUAAUAGAAUAUUUUUUAUUAUUAAUAAAAAUUUAAAUGUGAAAUAAUAGAGAUAAGAUACUGUCAUUACAGGGAACAACAUUAAAGGUAUUAAUUUGUAUUUUUAUAAAGAAGAUAGCAUUAAUUAUAUAUUAUUAUUAUUAAAAGAUCAUUAAAUAGUAAUUAAAUUUAAAGAUAAAUUUGUGAUUAUAUUGAUUGUAACAUCCCAAUAAAUAUAGCUUGAAAAUUAUCAUUUAUUUUUUUUAGGAGUUUAUUUAAACAAUAAUAAAGAACAGUAGGAGAUAAGCACAUUGGAGUAAAGAGAAUAUGAGAUUUCAUAUAGAAUUUAAAGCUGAACACAACAUAGAAGUUUGAUAGCAUUUACAAUUUAAGGCCGAACAGUCAUAUGACAAGUUCCAGACCAAAUGAUACAUUAAAGGGAUAUCUAGGCAGAACGGUUCUUACAAAACCCGAACCGUACGGUUACAUACUCUAAGUAAAAGUAAAAUCUAAUCUAAGGACCGGACGGUCCUGCACAAUUUUCUGGCAUCACAUCCAAGGAUUGUUCUGUCUGCAGGGCAUCUUCCAAAGUAUCUUCAAGAGCACUCUCUGCUCACACCCAAACGGAUGAUCAUUGCAGUGAAGAGAACAAACCGGACGAUCAAAUACCGAACGACAACAUAAACAAGACAAAACAGAUAAGGGUAAGCUUAUGUAAAUUUAAUUAAUCAUUUUCAACAUACAUAAAAACAUGCAAACCGAACAAUACAUUCAUAUCUACAUAAACCGAACAUUCAACUUUUAUAACAGACCCCUUAGACACUUGUCCAAACUGUAAGAAUAUGUAGCUAUGGUCGUCCUUGCACCGUGGGUGGUAACCUGGAAUAAACCAUCAGUAUUACCGCAACAUGGAUAACCCUUGAGCUUGCCCACGAGGUUAGCCCGUUAAAACACCUUAGGUCAAGGUUGUACACACCGCCCAGGUGUUAACAGAUUGGCAAGCGUACCAAAUCGUAUCAAGUAAUAAUAAAUGGUAAGUCCAAGUAUCGUUUUCCCAAGAGACUCGAAAGGCCUUAUCGUUAAUGUGAAUUAAGAUCGUAAGACUUGAAAAGAAAAAUUAAUUAAUUGGGUAUGAGAAUAAAAUAUGAACAUGCAAAAGAGAUUGAUUCAAUUGACGAGAAGAAAACAAUGGAUGAAUGGAGUUGUUGGGGGUUUACAAUUUCAUCUUAUCCUCUCUCUCUUAUUUACUCCUCUUGAUUUAUUUGCUUGAUUAACUAAUUGUUAUGCAACUUUCUUGGCCUACCCUUAACCCGAUCCCUCGGCGAAAAGAGCCUAUUACUAAUUACUGGCUUGUUAUCCCUAGCCUCCCCUAGCAAUUAAUAUUGCAUUAUAGAGCAGAAGUGAAAAACAAUUGAUCGUCCUACCCCUAUCCCUAGGUGGUAUUGCUUAAUCAAGGAAUUACUCACAAGUUCAUGACAUUACCGUACGUCCCCGUAUCAAUAAAGACAAACAACAGUUAUCGAAUGAGUUAAACGAUAAAAGCAUUAAGCACAGAUGAGAACCCAACAAUUAAUAAUCAAAGCAUAUGGAAAACAUAUAAGUAAUCAAGAGUUUCAAUAAAAGAGAGUAUCAAAAGAUUACAUUGUUUCCCCCAACAACAAUAGGGUUUAGUUCACCAUUGUCAUGGUGAAACUAGAUGAAAAAUGGAAAAACAAACCCUAGAAAAGAUGAAAAGGAGUCUAAACAUCCAAGAGAUCCUCUCCAGAGUUGAAAUUAGGUCUGGCCGCCUCCUUCUGUCAAAAGAAUGCAUCUGAACUCGCAAUAGGACUAUUUAUAGGUGAAGAGCGCAACAGAAAACAGGCUCAAGCCCAGCAGACAACCGCCCGACGAAACAAGUGUGGCGCCCGGCGGAUUCCCUCAAAUCGCGCUACCGCCCGGCGGCAGGGGUCUACCGCCCGGCGGUUUGCCUCUAAUCGCAAAUCGGCCCAACGCCCACGCCAGGUGCCUACUCCUCGCCCUGGACCGCCCGACGGUGUAGUUUGCCGUGGGGCGGCGCGUCGACUCUUUAAUUCUUCAACUUUCUUCUCUUUUCUUGAGUCUACGACCUUUAUCUUCAACUCCAUUCUUCACUUUCUCAAAAUUGCUACAAAACAAUGCAAAACAAGCAUAAUAUCGCUAAAAAUAACUUUUGACUCUCUACAGACUCAUUUAUUGAGUUUUGCUUGAUUCUAAGCUCAUUCUAAGUAGUAAAGGGAGUAAUUUGGUCUAAAAUGACAUAUGAAAAUAACUAUUUUUCAACCUUCAUCACCAGGCUAGAGCCUCCUGCCAUUCUCACCACAUGGUCACUAGCGCUAGUGAGCAUUAGAAUAUCAGGAUGAACACCAAUACAAAGCUGACCAUAUUCUUACUUCACCAAUCAAUCAAACAUAUAGUAUGAACCAUGUAGCUCGCCGCUCUCUACACCCGGGUGGACCUGGCUGGGAUACACUCAACAGACCGCCACCCGAGGUUAGUCCAGUGGAACCACCUUAGUAUAGAAAUACUAGGCUAAAGGACCUCCUCCCAUUCCCACACAUGAGUUACCCUUCUCUACCUGAGAAGGCGUAAUCACGGAAUAUACGGAUAGAGCAGAAUCUGAGUCUGACCAUAGUCAUACUCUACUAAAUCAAUUUUCAAAUCACGAGAUAUUCCUCCCUGGAAUACUCUUAAAUCAUAAUAAACUCGUUCAUCAUUUACUGCCUUUUCUUAAAAUCAGUAUGAACACAAAAUGACCAAACUGUGAUAAGGAAACUGAGUAUCAAAGGAAUUCAAUAAGUGACCGAACGGUUAGAGAAUAAGAGACUGAAUAAAACAAGGAAUUCUAAUAGUUGACCGGACGGUUUGGCAUAGGAUAAAACCGAACCCUUUUGAAAACAAUACAGGUAAACUUAUUCAUGAAGAAGAAUGAAUGCUAAACAACAUAAAUCAUUCUUGGAAGAAAACGAAUACUAAGUUUAUGACUUUAGCCAAAUGCCUUUACGACUAGCAGAAGUUCUCUUCAAUAAAACGAGUGUCAGUGCAAAACCGAACACUCUGUGAGGAAAUCAAGUGUCAGUGUAAGACCAAACACUUUUCAA
rnacentral:lncRNA from 1 species